ACGCCGUUGGUCCACCCGAAUGGGAUGCGAGGCCAUGGGUUCCGUAGUGUGGGUACAGUGUAGUAACCUCUACAGAGUGUAUAUUAAAUCUAUCGAUAGCCGCGCCCGCGGAUAAGGGCCCAGUUCGUGUCGGUCCCACCGUGAGUCAACAGUAUUAAUAAUAACUUGAUUAAUGACAACCCCGGUUCGACGAUGAGAUAAGUUGGUUGUGAUCGCCAUAAAGAUCACCGUUUGAGACCAGGUGUUGGUCAUGGUUGUGUUCACCGGAAUGAUCACCGUGGUAUCGAGGAUACCGAGUUGUUGGAUAUUCGUGAUAUUGUGCGAGAAUCAUGGGUAAAGAUCAAGCUCCUUGUGGUCAUUUAAUGAUUACUACGAUAUUGUUUAUACCAAGCUUGAUUUAUCCUGAGAUGAUCGUAUGAUGUCCGAGGAUGGUAAGUGAUGCAUGUGAUGGUUACGAAGUAACCCGUGCAGAAUAAAAUAGUGCAUAAAGUGUCAUCAUGUUGCAUGCUAGUGUCGUCAGAUUUAUAUGCUCAUGCCAUGCUCAUAUUGUUCCAGUUGUAUCAUGUUCAUAUCGUUGAUGCCCUGUUAUUUCUAAUGAGCUCGUGAUAAUUCCUGCUUAACCUGUAAUUGCCAUGUUGUUGUUUGUCUUGAAUGCUUCUGGUUAAUUGUGAGCUUGCAAGUACAUUCAAUGUACUUGCCUGGCGUGUCAUGCCAGUUUGCAGGUCGUGCCUGGAUUGCUUGCUUGUUUGGUGUUGUUCCUGUGUUCGCAAGCUAGGAUAAGCGUUCCAGCCAGAGUCCCUGCGGAGUGGAGUUCACCACCGUUGUCGUUGUUCCGCUGCUUCGAGUUGUUCUACUGCUUGCAUAGAGCAACUGAGGAUGGUGUAGUGUCGCCGUGCCGAUGUUAUUCAUUGUAAUAUCGGAGACCUUGUAAUCAUAUUCGUGUAAUAAUAGAAAGCUGGUUUGUUCUAUGCUAAGCAGUGCCCAGAAGACUUCUCCUCGAUCUCUGGGCUGGAAUACGGGGCAUUCCGGUUUUCUCUGAGCCGGGGUGCCACAACGUUGUGUAACAAAUUUGAAACAUGAGGUGUUCUUUGAUUGUCAUCCUUAUGAGUGGUGGUCGGGGACGAGCGAUGGUCUUUUCCUACCAAUCUAUCCCCCUAGGAGCAUGCGCGUAGUGCUUGGUUUUUGAUGACUCGUAGAUUUUUGCAAUAAGUAUGUGAGUUCUUCAUGACUAAUUUUGAGUCCAUGCAUUAUACGCACUCUCACCCUUCCAUCAUUGCUAGCCUCUUCGGUACCGUGCAUUGCCCUUUCUCACCUUGAGAGUUGGUGCAAACGUUGCCGGUGCAUCCAAACCCCGUGAUACGAUACGCACUUUCACAUGUAAACCUCCUUAUAUCUUCCUCAAAACAACCACCAUACCUACCUAUUAUGGCAUUUCCAUAGCCAUUCUGAGAUAUAUUGCCAUGCAAUUUUCCACCGUUCCAUUUAUUAUGACGCGCUUCAUCAUUGUCAUAUUGCCUUGCAUGAUCAUGUAGUUGACAUCGUAUUUGUGCCAAAGCCACCAUGCAUAUUAUUUCAUACAUGUCACUCUUGAUUCAUUGCCCAUCCCGGUACACCGCCGGAGGCAUUCAUAUAGAGUCAUAUUUUGUUCUAGUAUCGAGUUGUAAUCAUUGAGUUGUAAAUUAAUUGAAGUGUGAUGAUCAUCAUUAAUAGAGCAUUGUCCCAAAUAAAAAAGAGAAAGGCCAAAUAUAAAAAAGGAAAGGCCCAAAAAAAGAAAUAAAAAGAAAUAAAAAGGGACAAUGCUACUAUCCUUUUUCCACACUUGUGCUUCAAAGUAGCACCAUGAUCUUUAUGAUAGAGAGUCUCUUGUUUUGUCACUUUCAUAUACUAGUGGGAAUUUUUCGUUAUAGAACUUGGCUUGUAUAUUCCAACAAUGGGCUUCCUCAAAUGCCCUAGGUCUUCAUGAUACUAGUGGGAAUUUUUCGUUAUAGAACUUGGCUUGUAUAUUCCAACAAUGGGCUUCCUCAAAUGCCCUAGGUCUUCAUGACCAAGCAAGUUUGAUGCACACCCACUUAGUUUCUUUUAUUGAGCUUUCAUACAUUUAUAGCUCUAGUGCAUCUGUUGCAUGGCAAUCCCUACUCCUUGCAUUGACAUCAAUUGAUGGGCGUCUCCCUAGCCCAUUGAUUAGCCACGUCAAUGUGAGACUUUCUCCUUUUUUUCUCCACAUAACCCCCAUCAUUAUAUUCUAUUCCACCCAUAGUGCUAUAUCCACGGCUCACGCUCAUGUAUUGCGUGAAAGUUGAAAAAAGUUUGGGAUUAUUAAAGUAUGAAACAAUUGCUUGGCUUGUCAUCGGGGUUGUGCAUGAUGAGAGCAUUCUUGUGUGACGAAAAUGGAGCAUGACCAAACUAUAUGAUUUUGUAGGGAUGAACUUUCUUUGGCCAUGUUAUUUUGAGAAGACAUGAUUCCCUAGUUAGUAUGCUUGAAGUAUUAUUAUUUUUAUGUCAAUAUUAAACUUUUAUCUUGAAUCUUUCAGAUCUGAACAUUCAUGCCACAAUAAAUAUAAUUACUUAGAAAAUUAUGUUAGGUAGCAUUCCACAUCAAAAAUUCCGUUUUUAUCAUUUACCUACUCGAGGACGAGCAGGAAUUAAGCUUGGGGAUGCUUGAUACGUCUCCAACGUAUCUAUAGUUUUUGAUUGUUCCAUGCUAUUAUAUUAUCUGUUUUGGAUGUUUAAUGGGCUUUAGUAUACACUUUUAUAUUAUUUUUGGGACUAACCUACUAACCCAAGGCCCAAUGCAAAUUGCUGUUUUUUGCCUAUUUCAGUGUUUCGCAGAAAAGGAAUAUCAAACGGAAUCCAAACGGAAUGAAACCUUCGAGAGAGUGAUUAUUGGAACAAACGUGAUCCAGAGGACUUGGAGUGGACGCCAAGAAACAAGCGAGGAGGCCACGAGGUAGGGAGGCGCCCCUGCCCCCCUGGGCGCACCCCCCACCCUCGUGGGCCCCUCGGAGCUCCACCGACCUACUUCUUCCUCCUAUAUAUAUCCAUAUACCCCGGAACCAUCCAGGAGCACCACGAAACCCUAUUUCCACCGCCGCAACCUUCUGUACCCGUGAGAUCCCAUCUUGGGGACUUUACUGGCGCUCCGCCGGAGGGGGAAUCGAUCACGGAGGGUUUCUACAUCAACACCAUAGCCUCUCCGAUGAUGUGUGAGUAGUUUACCUCAGACCUUCGGUUGCAUAGUUAUUAGCUAGAUGGCUUCUUCUCUCUCUUUGGAUCUCAAUACAAAGUUCUCCUCGAUCUUCUUGGAGAUCUUUUCGAUGUAACUCUUUUUGCGGUGUGUUUGUCGAGAUCCGAUGAAUUGUGGGUUUAUGAUCAAGAUUAUCUAUGAACAAUAUUUGAAUCUCCUCUGAAUUCUUUUAUGUAUGAUUUGUUAUCUUUGCAAGUCUCUUCAAAUUAUCAGUUUGGUUUGGCCUACUAGAUUGAUCUUUCUUGCAAUGGGAGAAGUGCUUAGCUUUGGGUUCAAUCUUGCGUUGCUCGAUUCCAGUGAUAGUAGGGGAAACGACACGUAUUGUAUUGUUGCCAUCGAGGAUAAAAAUAUGGGGUUUAUAUCAUAUUGCUUGAGUUUAUCCCUCUACAUCAUGUCAUCUUGCCUAAUGCGUUACUUUGUUCUUAUGAACUUAAUACUCUAGAUGCAUGCUGGAUAGCGGUCGAUGUGUGGAGUAAUAUUAGUAGAUGCAGAAUCGUUUCAGUCUACUUGUCGCGGACGUGAUGCCUAUAUACAUGAUCAUGCCUAGAUAUUCUCAUAACUAUGCACUUUUCUAUAAAUUGCUCGAUAGUAAUUUGUUCACCCACCGUAAUACUUAUGCUAUCUUGAGACAAGCCACUAGUGAAACCUAUGGCCCCCGGGUCUAUUUUCCAUCAUAUAAGUUACCAAUCUAUUUUAUUUUGCAAUCUUUACUUUCAAUCUUUAUCAUAAAAAUACCAAAAAUAUUAUCUUAUCAUCUCUAUCAGAUCUCACUUUUGCAAGUGGCCGUGAAGGGAUUGACAACCCCUUUAUCGCGUUGGUUGCAAGGUUCUUAUUUGUUUGUGUAGGUACGAGGGACUUGCGUGUGGCCUCCUACUGGAUUGAUACCUUGGUUCUAAAAAACUGAGGGAAAUACUUACGCUACUUUUUCUGCAUCACCCUUUCCUCUUCAAGGGAAGACCAACGCAUGCUCAAGAGGUAGCAGUGAGGCAUCGGGUCAUGCGCGCUAACUCAUCCACUCACGAUUAACUCAUGCGAGAAGAAGGCACGAAGGGCCAUGGGAGGUGAUGUACAUGGGGGCUGGCCCGCAAGACAUAGCUCAGCCACUUGGGUUUAGCGACACUGCAGGGACGGACCCGAGCAUAGACGUCAUGCCAGUCCUUAAUCAUGAGGCGGUCGCGGGCUGGUUUGUGAGGGCGCAUGAUAUUCAUAGUGGCGAAGCACCGGACAUGCAGGUGGUAACACGAAGCAAUUCAUGAGAGGGUAAGGCCGGUUCUGAUAUAUGCGCAAGAUGAUAAAUGCUGUAGGGAUGGAGCUAUAUAGCUUGAGGAUAAUGUAGCCCGAGGGGCGCCCUCAAUUGAACAAACAAACAAGUCACCUGGCACCGUCGCUGAAGAAGUGUUGGGGCAGCUGAAGAUGCGCGCUGCAGAAGUCGCUCCUCACGAGUCGUCUGGCUCCUGGGUCUCGUGAGGCUCCGGAGGUCCGAGAGGCUCGCGAGGGGUCGACACCUUCGUCAUGAAGAUCGCCUGGCGCCUGGCCUCGUGAUCCUCCAGGAUGCCCUGCAUGUGGCUUGGUGCGCGGCAGCUACGUUCGGCAGACCGAAAGGCAUGCAAACGUGCUCUGUGGGCGGCCUCUGCACCGGCCAACACGGGACGACCAGAAGAGCUCCUGCAAAGCAGCCCCGUUGAGCCCCAGGAUGUUGAAUCAGACGUGUAGCUCGCCACCCAUAUUAGGGGCGGCAGCUGCACUAGGUGAUGCGGGGCGGCGCUCGCCACGCAUGGCUCACGCCUCCUGAAGCUCUCCAAUCGCCUUGGUGAUGAACUCCUGAGCGCCUGGUGCCUCGCGCCCUGCUCGUGGAAGCGCGCAUUGAAGCAUGCCUCCACAUGGUGCCCGAAUGCCUCCGUCAUGACGCCAACCAGGUCAGAGGCCCUCCAGAGGAGAGCCCCUGAGCCUAAGUUGAGAGGGGUGCUAGGCGCGCCUUCCUAUGUGAGAGGGAAGGGCGCCCCAGCAGUGGACGCAGGUCCUGAGGCAUGAUCAUCAGACACCCCACUGAGGUCCUCUGAGGAGUAGCUGCUUCUUCUUCUUGGGGAUGACCUCAAGAGGGUGGAUGUCGCCCUCGUCAUCUGUGUUCUCGAUCGCUGCGGCCUGGUAGACGCGCUCGAGGGAGCACACCACAUCUUUCUCAUCGCAGGCGAUCAUGAUGAUGCCUCGGCUUCCUGGCAUCUUGAGGACGUUGUAGCCGUGGUGAGUCACCGCCAUGAAUUUGGCGAGGGCCGAGUACUCGAGGAUGGCGUUGUAUAGGAGGCGAAUGUGGGCAACGUCGAAGUCGAUGAGCUUGGUGCGGUAGUUGUCGCGCUUGCCGAAGGUGACGGGGAGGCGAAUGUACCCCAGGGGGGGCGAUGGAGCCGUCGGUCACCCCUGAGAAGGGCUUGGUGGGGAGGAUCUGGUCGUAGGGCACCUGGAGCCUCUCGAUUGUCUCAACAGAGAGGACAUUCAGUCCCGCACCUCCGUCGAUGAGUGUCUUGGUAACGAGGACGUUGCUAAUGGUCGGCGAGCAGAGCAUUGGGAGCGCGCCGGCGGUGGCCGCACACUUGAGCUAAUCCGUAGAGUCGAAGGUGAUGGUGUAAUUAGACCAACUGAGGGGACGCGAUGCCUCGAGCUUGGGGAGGUCCGCGUUCACCUCACGAGCGAACUGCUUCAAGACACGAUGGGAGGCGGGGGGCCUGAGCGCCACCCAUGAUACAUGCAAUAGCACAAAGCUGUUGGAAGCCCCCGGCCCCAUCAUCCUGGUGGUGGUCAUCGUUCCUCCUCGGCGGCGACGGCAACAGAGGAAGGCUGGCGUUGCCCUGAGGAUGAUCCUCAUGAAGCUGGUCCCUCCAGGGGCCAUCGCGAGGCUGGCCCUGUCGGCGGUCCUCACGAGGCUGAUCACGCCAACCCUGGCGGGGGUCGCGGUUGUCCUAGCGGCCUCCACAACGGCCUCCUCCACGGCCGUAGUCGCGGUCGUUGCACUCAGGGCGGCGGCCAAGGUGCCCGUCUUGGAUGGCCCUGAGCUCUUGGCAGUCAUUGGUGUUGUGGCUGUGGACAUUGUGGAAAAUGCAAAAUGGGUGGCUGCCCUUGGAGGACUCGGGGUGGUCGCAGCCGCGCUUCAUCUCGGGCUCGGCCGCAAGCACAGCUGGGCCCUUGCACCACAUGUCCUUGGCCUUGGCCUUCUUGUCUUCAGGGUCAGCCUCCAGGAGGUCAAGGAGGGAGAGGCGACCUUCCUCUGCCCUCGCGCACCUGGUUGCCAUGUUGAACAUCUCCAGAGCCGAGCACAUUUCCUCAUGCAUCGCGAGUUCUUGCUUCAUCUUGACAUCUCGGACGCCAUCAAUGAAUGCUGAAAUGAUGGCCUCAUCCGACACAUUAGGGAUCUUGAGGCGAACGUUGGUGAAGCGUUGGACGUAUUUGUGCAAGGUCUCUCCUGGCUGCUGCUUGAUGCGUCGCAGGUCGCUUGCAUCAGGGGCGCGGUCGCGAGUGCCCUGGAAGUUGGCGAUGAAGCGCUCACGCAGCUCAUUCCAGUAGGAGAUCGAUCCCACUGGGAGGUUCAGGAGCCACGAGCGUGCACCAUCCUUGAGAGCCAUGGGAAACCAGUUCGCCAUGACCAUCUCGUUGCCGUUCGCCACCUCGAUGCUCAGCUCGUAAAGCUGGAGGAAGUCAGCAGGGUCAGGGGUGCCGUCAUAGCAUGGAGGCAGAUCUGGCUUGAACUUGUCGAGCCAGACGAUGCGGCGCAGCUCCGGAGCGAACGGUCAACAACCUGUCGCGCUCACGGGAGCCCGGCGCGGAGGGGGAGCCUGGUCUUGGCGCCUGCCUGCCGCCACUUUGGGUGCCACACGGUCUUAAUGUGGCGGUGCUGGGAGCGCACACACCACUCCUUGAGGCCGCUGCACCACCUAUCAGCUUUCUUCGUCGCGCGCCGGCGCCCUGCGCGGUGCGUAGUGUUGGGGGGACUCACGCCUUGGCGCGGGGACGACAUCGCGCCGGAGAGGAGGAGGAGCCGCAUCAUGGGCCACGUCACCUGCCUGAGGCAGCGGGGGAGGCACCGAGCGAGACGGUGCAGGAGCCUCUCCAGCGAUGCUGCGAGCUCGGCGAUGCGGUCCAGCCAGUCCUCAUAGAGGUCAUCGGCCGGACGAUAGCGCGGAUGCUCGCGCGCCAUGAGCAACGCAGCCUGCGCAUUCGCCGCCCCGUGGCGAGCAUGGGAAGAUGAAGCAGUGACUGGAGUCAGCGAUGGAGUGGCGGUGCGACCAUCGCGCCGCAUGGAAGGCGGCAGCGACGAGUCCUGCUACUCAUGGACCGCGGGGCCGGUGGCAGCGUUCGCCAUGGGUGACGGGGAGCGGCGAGGGGCGCCGUCGCCCGCAGGCGUUGUCUGAGCAACGCGGGAGGUGCGGGCUGCCCGGCGCUCAGCACGAACUCGACGAGCGUCGGCCAUGAGAGCGGCAGAACGGUGGCGAAACGACCGACGAAAGAGAGGCUUCGACACACUCCUACCUGGCGCGCCAAAUGUCGGAUUCGGGGCUCCGCAGACCCAAGAAAGGUUCGAACCCUGGGGCGUGUGUGAAGAACUCAACCUCUCCAUCCAAUCAAUUUGUCUACCCCACGGCCUAGCUCGAUGAACAAGAAAGGAAAGGGACACGGUAGUUUACCCAGGUUCGGGCCACCUUGCGGUGUAAGACCCUACUCUUGCUUUGGGGUGGAUUAGCCUUGCGAGGGGCUGAGGAUGAACUAGUACAGAGGAAGACUACUGCUGCAGUUCAGCGAUGAGGCCUUAGAGCCAACACGUCUGACUUACACAAGCACCGAACAGCCGGACUGCCCCCCUAGAGGGCGGGACAGAGAAGCUAACGAGGCCGAACACCCAGCUGCCCCACCUCACUGUUAAGGCAAAGAUCAAGUGUGGCCCACCUACGAGUACGACCUCCGCCAUGACCUCAACGCUCAAGGAGGCUGUACCAGGUCCAUCUACGGACCCAGAGAAGACCCGCCUGCUUAAUAGGAAGGGUACUAUGAUCGGCUAAACCGUAAUGAGAAUCCUGGAGCAACAGUAGAUUCGAAAGGCCGAAGACCUUCAACGCGAUGUAGCCCAAGUUUGGGGCACCGCACACCCCUUGUGCUUCACAGAGAGGGUAGUGCAACACCAAUUCCCGGAAGGCUUCAAGCCUGUGAACAUCGAAUCAUACGACGGAACCACAGCUCCAACCUUAUGGAUAGAGGAUUUCCUCCUCCACAUCCACAUGGCGCGAGGUGAUGACCUCCACGCCAUUAAAUAUUUGCAACUAAAGCUUAAAGGUCUAGCUUGACACUGGUUGAACAGUCUUCCUGAGGACUCUAUAGGCUGUUGGGAAGAGCUUGAGGACGCCUUUCGAGCAAACUUUCAGGGCACCUAUGUCCGGCCUCCGGACGCUGAUGACCUAAAUCGCAUCACACAACAGCCCGGAGAAUCUGCCCGGCAAUUUUGGAACUGAUUCCUGACGAAGAAAAACCAAAUUGUCGACUGUCCGGAUGCCGAAGCCUUGGCCGCCUUCAAGCAUAGCGUCAAGGACGAAUGGCUCAUAAGGAAGCUCGGCCAGGACAAACCAAGAACGAUGGCAGCCCUUACUUCUCCCAUGACCCACUUUUGCGCGAGCGAAGACAAUUGGCUCGCUCGCAAAAACACCAACCCCGACACACCCGGUACCUCCGAGGUUCGGGACAAAAACAAAAAGCUGUCGGAUUUGGGGCUCCGCAGACCCAAGAAGGUUCGAACUCUGGGGCGUGUGCGAAAAACUCAAACUCUCCAGCCAACCAAUUCGUCGCCCCCACGGCAUAGCACGAUAAACAAGAAAGGAAAGGGAGAUGGCAGUUUACCCAGGUUCGGGCCACCUUGCGGUGUAAGACCCUACUCCUGCUUUGGGGUGGAUUAGCCUCGUGAGGGGCUGAGGAUGAACUGGUACAGAGGAAGAACAACAUCAGGAAGUCUGUUCUUGUGUGGGUGUGAGCUAGUGAGGGUUCACAUCUUGGAUCCCGGAUUCCCUUAUAUGGUGGUGGCUAAGCUACAUUUAUAGUGGCCUUGGACCUCUUCCACCGAACGAAGGCGGGAAGGGAUCCCACAGUGGCCAAUUUUGAAGGGGGACAAGUAGUACAUCUUAUCCUGAUGAAAGGUACUCUUUUUGCGUGCAAAGCUUCUGGUCGUGACGCCGUGGUGGGCUCGGCGAUGACAUCCGUCCUGCCAUCCUGGCGGUCUUGGUCUUGUUGCACAGGAAUGGAAUCCUUUGGCUGAUUCCUCGGGACCUCAAGCCUGCGUUGCCUCCUCAACACCAAAGAGGAAACCUGCUACUCUGCGCCCGCUGGAGCCUGCCUGGCCUUGGUCAUCUUGUCUUGUGUCACGCAAACCUCAUGAGAUAGGUGCUUGCAUAGGAAUCUCUGCUCCUCGAGAGCCAGCCUAGGGAGGCCGCUCCCUCUGGAGGUCUUGGUGUCGUCUGCCUUGUGUGGCUUGGCUCCUCGCGAGGGUCUUGUCUUGCCGAUGCUGAAGAUGGUCCGCACCAAGCCGUCGAUGGAGCCACGCUGUGGGCCGCAGAAAGGCAAGUCUGGGUACCCUGGUUCCCAGAACGCCAACAAAAGCCUCAACGUAGCAAGAAUAAGCGCCGCCACAAUGCUGGCGAGGGCGAGGAUACAACAGUAAAUGCUGGAAGUCUGGACCCCGAAAGAAAGCCCCUAAAGGCAACAGUUAUGGCCCGUCUAGAUUCGACACAAUCUUGGACAUGCCUUGUUAGAUCCACGGCAUAUCAGAGAAGCCCGCCAUCCACUCCAACCGAAAUUUUUGGGUGAUCAAACUGGCCAGCAAGCUCACAGCUGAAGACUCGGGCAAAAGCCCAUGAAGCGAGGACGAUGAUGAGCCUUGCAGGCCAAAUAGUGGGGGCCAGAAACCCUUCCCUUCUGAGGUCAAGAUGGUAAACAUGAUCUAUGCAACCCAUAUACCGAAGAAGGAGAGGAAGCGAGCGCUACAAGAUGUAUAUUCCGUCGAGCCAGUAGCGUCGAAGUUCAAUCCAUGGUCAGCUUGCCCGAUUAUGUUCGAUCGCAGGGACCACCUGACCAGUAUACGCCAUGGAGGGUCCGCAACCUUAGUGCUCAACCCCGUCAUCGAUGGAUUCCACUUCACUAGAGUCCUCAUGGACGAAGGUAGUAGCCUCAAUCAGAUAUACAAAGAUACAAUGAGGAAAAUGGGGAUCGAUCCGUCAAGGAUCAAACCCAGUAACACCACCUUUAAGGGGGUCAUUCCGGGAGUGGAAGCCCGCCGCAUAGGGAGUGUGACCCUUGAAGUAGUGUUCAGAUCUUCGGAUAAGUUUUGAAGCGAGGACUUGAUCUUCGACAUUGCACCUUUUCGCAGCGGCUAUCAUGCCCUCCUCGGCCGAACAAUGUUUGCCAAAUUCAAUGCCAUUCCACACUACGCGUACCUCAAGUUGAAGAUGCCCAGUCCUUUGGGCGUCAUAUAACUAUCAACGGCAACACAAAAUGCUCGCUUCAUACCGAAGAGCACACUGCGGCCAUAGCGGCCGAAGAUCAAACCGACCCAUAUAGGUCCAGAUCCGACCCGCCAUAAAGGCCGGCGACAAUAGUAAACGGGUUCGAAACCGUUCCCCGUCAUGGGAACCCGCAUGAGUUUUCCGCAAAUAGGGACGCGCGCCCCACGACACACCCACAUUCUUCGCGCUCCACGUGCCUCGUCAACACAAUUUCACACUUAAAAUACCAUGGGCAGCGUUGAGGCAUAUAUCAACAAAUCUGAAGUAUAUGUUCGGCUAAACUGAACUUCAGAACUACCUCAUCUUCGGACGACCCGGGGGCCAAUUCCGGAAAGCCCCCAAGCAUAAAGCUCCAUCGGCAGGAUCCUCACCCCUCAAGGUCUCAUCAAAGGUACCAAUUCGAACCUCCCAGAAGCAAAGGCGCAGACGUGCAGCAGGGCAAAGUGAAGACUUCAACUCACGCAUCAAGGCCCUGCGUAAACCUUUAUUCUAUAAAACUCUUUUAUUUUUAAUAAUGCCUUGGCAGUCCGAAUUGUAUGAUUAGAUGACUUAAUCUCGCGAGAAAUAAUAAAAAUGCCCUUUACGGUGUUCGCAUAUCCGCACCCCAUUUUUUCUAUCUCCUUCUUGUUUCUCCACUCGCUCUUCGAACAAGCCCGGCAUGAGAAUAUACUAACUAACCAAGAGUUUGAUUUAUAUAUAAGCUCAAUAUCUUCAAGUCCGGCACCGCUUUCCACUAGGUGUUCGGCGUCUCGGAUAUUGCAUUAUAUGCAUCAGUUAUGAACUAUGUCUUGGGUCAAUAGUUUGGUUGCCCGGCUCCCAUGCUUGCCUCUUAUGUUCCGCAUGUUCGGCUAAGAGGGCAAAGGGAGAACCCAUGCGAUUGUACUUCUGGUUCGCCCGGUCUAGUCCUCAAGAGGAGAAAGCCAAAAAUUGACCGUCAUAGUAAGCACGAACUGGUCAGCGAUCCGGUGACGAGGUUUGAAUCUAAAAAUCGUUAGCGAUUUCAACGUGUCACACAAAGGGUUCGUCUUAACACAAACCAGGUGAUCGGAAAGGGAUGUUAUUUGCCCUCAAGUACAUCGCAAAACACAGGGGGGCUGGUCCUUAGCCCCCACCGUCAAGCUCCUAAGGCUAAGUGAAAGCAGUAAAACCGAAUAGUUUGAUUGCCUAGUUUCGCUCACGCACUACCGCCUCCGGGUACCAAGACGUUGGCUAAGGGUAACAGUGCGGAGACUAAAAACCCCUCAUGAUAUUCACUUGGGGGCUGAAGCCGAUGACUGGUAGCUUUCAGAUUAAACAUACGGCCAAAUAGGAGUCAAAAUUAAAAUCAUGGCCCUGUAAACAGGUCGGGCUGACACAUUAUAAAGCAUAAGGUCCACUUCGUACAGAUUUAAUAGAAUUACUCAAUAAUUACGUCUUUUGAACACUGGCCCUCUAUCACCCGCGCGCCGGUCAUCACCUGUGCGAAGUACUUCUCAGGGCGGUGAUUCUCCUUUCCCUUGGGUGGAGGACCAGUGGCCAUGUCCAUCGGAUUAAUCUUCGGCCAGUGCACCAUGCUCUUCGCGAAUGCAAGCCUCGCCCCCUCAAGGCACUCUGACCGCUUUACGGCAUUAAUCCGGAGUGGCGCCUCCUACAGGUUCUGCACAAGGCUGAAGUAGGUGUCCGGAAUGGGCUCGGGGGGCCACAGACUAACACAGAGGUCCUUCACAGCCAGCUCGGACAACCAAUGCAUCUCCAUCGGCUGCUUCAUUUGAUCGCUAAGGAGGGAGGACGCUCGGAAUCCGAAAACUAUGACCAGAAGAGCCGCUCCGUGGAGUCCUCCUCGAGGGUGGCAUAGUGCCUCGCUGCGGCCGCCACAUUCUUUGGAAGUUCGGCGAAGACGCCUGCGGAGCGCCAGACCUGCGUCAGCAAGGCGAACCUGUUGCCUCCAAACACACUCUACAGUAAGUAUUUCUUACCAUUUGCAAUUUGCGCGACUUGGCGGAGCUCCUCCCAGACACCCUGCACGUCAGUCCUCGCCUCCUGGAGCUCCUUCUCCGCCUUGGAUAGCCGGGAGGGUUGCUCCUCCUGCCCCUUCUCAAGGGCCUCCAGCUUCUCGGCGGCCUCCUGGAGCUCCACCUGGACUUCGGUCACUCGAGCCUCAUGCUGCUCAGCAGCAAGCUUGGCCUUCUCAAGCUCGGCCACCACCUUCUCAGCGGCCGUAUUUUUCGUGGCCGCCUCAGCCUCGGCUUUCUUCAGGGCCUCCCUCAAGCCCUCGACCUUAGCGGCGGCAACUGUAGGAUCAUCACGAUAAAGGAUUAGCAUAUAGUCCGGAUCGUCAAUACCCGGUGUCAGGCAAAUACACAUCUUAUCAGAGGGCUUACCUUGCGCCUCAUCAAGCCGUUUGUUGACAAGGUCAAGCUCUUUAUUGGAAAGCUUGAGCUUCUGAUCCAUCUCCUCUACCGCCGCGGCAUUAGCAGCCGCGGCCACGGAAGAUUCCCGCAUCAGCAAAAGAAAUGUCGACAUCAUUAAUCGGCUUACCGAAUUUGACCCUCUGCAGGUUUAUUUGAAGUCCUUGCAGAGUCUUGGGGGCUGCUAUGUACACGGCCUACCCAAACUAAAAAUUACAACCGCAUUACGAGAAAAGAGUGGCUUACCUCAAAUCUUGUUAGAAGGCCGUGGGCAUCAUCGUUCAAUCCGGAUUGGACGAAUCGAACACCCUACUUAACCGCACUCAUAAGAGUGCGGUGCCCAUCAAUGAUGACAGAGUUGUCUACCAACUCCUCCAGCAUGCCUAGCCAGCCAACCGCCGCCUGUGUAGAGGUGUUCGGCAUUGACGUUGGCUCCCCGACCCUUCCCCAUUAGGAGGAGCCUGUGCUAUUGAAGGCCUUGGGGCUCGGGAGAGGACGACGGAUGGGGUUCGGAUGGACCGGACUCCUUUCCCGCAUAAGCCAGGAGGGACGCGCCCUCCUGGUCUUCAGUGACCGAGGUGUUAACCUCGGCCAUUAUGGUGUCGGCUUCCCCUCUGUGUUCGGAGGAGGAGGAGGCAUUCGGGAGCGCACCUCCUCGACCUCUUCAGGGACUAGAGGAGACGCAGACUGCGCCAUAGACCCACUAUCCGCUAGUUCGACAGGCGGAGACGUCCCCUCCGAAGAGUGCUUGGUGGGGCCUUCAUGUGGGGGACUGCAAAGCCAAAGGGUUAGCCUUCGACUAAGAUGAAUUACUAAAAAAAGGGUAGCUAAAAGUACCAACACCUUACCUGCUGGCUGGGGGCUUGACCCUGGGUCCCUUCUUCGGGAUCUCCUCAGAUGCCUCAGACUCCUCGUCGGAGUCCGAGCUGUCCGGUAGGACCAGCUUAGGCCAACAUCGUCUCUUCAGGGCCGGAAAAUGUUGGACCUCCUCGGCAUCCUCGGAUGCCGCCCUCUUCUUGGAGCGCGAGGAGGCGCUCUCCUCCUCGUCCCCAUCCUGUACGGAUGAGGCCGCAUGUCUCCGGAUCGGUUGCCCGGACGAGCCUUGUGGCAGAGGCUCCUCCACUUCCUGAUAUCCCCGCAAUGUUAUGUGCAGGGAGGGGAAUAUAAAUCAUUAACCAUAUCCCCCGAAAGGUGGGACACGAUCUCCACCUCGAGGGGACGUGCCAGCCAUGCUUCGAGAAAUAGUAACUGCUUGGUAUUAUAGCCGGAGGCGACUCUUCGUUGAAAGAGAAAAAGUUGUCAGAUAAAGGCACUAUUUGCACUGGAGCGGUUUUUUUCAUUACCUUCGCCGUUAAGUAUAACCGCCGUUUCAGAUUCCGGACAUCAGUGGAGGCGAACAUAGAGAAAAACGUAUUGAAGAACUCACCUCGCAAGCCGAACACUGUUUGGGUGAGCGGAAGCCGGAUACAAGCCUUGGCAUUGGAGGCAAGUUCAGGGGCUACUGAGGGAGUCACGGACUAAGGGGUCCUCGAGGUGACGGCCCAUUGAGUAUGGGCCGGACUGGUGGGGCCAUAUAGUGACAGGAGGUCUAUGAAGCCGUGGUGUGCCCUCCAAGUCAAGAAGACACAUAAUCUCUUUCCCCUUAUUAUAAUCUAUCUUAGGUAACCCUAACCCUACCGGUGUCUAUAUAAACCGAGGGUUUUAGUCUUUAGGGCUAGAGCUACAUUCAUCACCUCAUCGCCUUAGGGUUUAGCUCAUGCUGAUUUCGAGGUAGAUCUACUCUGUAACCAUAUUAUACAUGCAAUACAAUCAAGUAGGACAAAGGGUAUUACCUCUUCGAGAGGGUCCGAACCUGGCUAAACACUGUGUUCGUUGUCCCUUGUUCCCCAUCGAUCCUAGAUCCACAGCUCGGGACCCCCUACCCCGAGGUCUGCCGGUUUUGACACCAACAACAGGUAUCCCCGAAGGUGUUUGUCGAGUUGGCAUAGAUCAAGAUUAGGAUAUGUCACUCCGACUAUCAGAGAGGUAUCUUUGGGCCCUCUCGAUAAUAUACAUCAUAAAAAUCCUUGCAAGCAAAGUGACUAAGGAGUUAGUUACAUGAUGAUGUAUUACGGAAUGAGUAAAGAGACUAGCCGGUAACAAGAUUGAACUAGGUAUGAAGAUACCGACGAUCAAAUCUCGGGCAAGUAACAUACCGAUGGACAAAGGGAAUUACGUAUGUUGUCAUAAGGUUCGACCGAUAAAGAUCUUCAUAAAAUAUGUAGGAGCCAAUAUGGGCAUCAAGGUUCCGCUAUUGGUUAUUGACCGGAGAGGUGUCUCACUCAUGUCUACAUACUUCUCGAACCCGUAGGGUCCGCACGCUUAACGUUCGUUGAUGAUAUAGUGUUAUAUGAGUUAUAUGAUUUGGUGACUGAAUGUUGUUCGGAGUCCCGAAUGAGAUCAAGGACAUGACGAGGAGCUCCGAAAUGGUUCGGAGGUAAAGACAGAUAUAUAGGACGAUAAUAUUCGGACUCCGGAAGAGUUUCGGAGUGCACCGGGUAGUUAUGGAUCACCGAAGGGGUUCCGGGCACCCCCGGGAAGUAUAUGGGCCAUAAGAGGGGAGCACACCAGCCCACAAGGGGCUGGCACGCCCCUCCUAUGGCAGCCGGCCUAAGGGAGGAAAGGUAAGGGGCGAAUCGACCUCUCCCUUCCUUUCUCUCCCCCCUUUCCUUUCUCCCGGAAGCAAAUAUGGAAGGGGGGUGGCCUAGGGCAGGAGCCCAAGUAGGAUUCGAUCCUACUUGGGGUGCCUCUUGGCCUCUCCCCUCUCCCCCACCUAUAUAUAUGUGGGAGGGUGGCGCCACAUAGAACCACGACAAUUGCUUAGCCGUGUGCGGCGCCCCCCUCCAUAGUUUAGUCCCUCGGUCAUAUUUUCGUAGUGCUUAGGCGAAGCCCUGCUGAGAUAGCUUCACCAUCACCGCCACCACGCCAUCGUGCUGCCGGAACUCAUCCACUACUUCGCCGUCUUGUUGGAUCAAGAAGGCACGGACGUCACCGAGCUGAACGUGUGCUGAACGCGGAGGUGUCGUACGUUUGGUACUCGAUCGGUUGGAUCGCGAAGAAGUUUGACUACAUCAACCAUGUUACUAAACGCUUCCGCUUACGGUGUACGUGCGUAGACACAGUCUCCCCUCUCGUUGCUAUGCAUCUCCAUGGAUAGAUCUUGCGUGUGCGUAGAAUUUUUUUGUUUUCCAUACAACAUUUCCCAACAGUGGCAUCGUGAGCCAGGUCUAUGCGCAGAUGAUAUGCACGAGUAGAACACAACGAGUUGUGGGCGGUGAUAGUCAUACUACUUACCACCAACGUCUUAUUUUUGAUUCGGCGGUAUUGUGGGAUAAAGCUGCCCAAACUGUCGGAUGUGGGGUUCCAGCAAACCCUUAAGGUUCGAACACUGGGGUGCGCGCGAAGUCUUUCCCUCCUACCGAUCUACUCCCUAGCUCGCUAAUAUCUCGCGGACGAACUCGACGAACUCGCAACACAGAAAGACACGAGGUUUAUACUGGUUCGGGCCACCAUUGUGCUGUAAUACCCUACUCCAGUGUGGUGGUGGUGGAUUGCCUCUAGGGCUGAUGAUGAACAGUACAAGGGAAGAACAGCCUCCUGAGGUUGUGGUGUUCUUGUGGGUAGGCUCUCAAUCGGGUUGGAUCAAGCUAAGAUGAGAUGCCUCUACUAUGGUGGCUAGCUCUACUUAUAUAGGCCCUGGUCCUCUUCCCAAAUAUCGAGCAGGAAGGGAGCCAACAACGGCGGGCAAAUUUGAAGGCGGACAACUAGUACAAGUUAUCCUGGCAAAAGCGGUCUUCGCCUGCGAAAAGCUCUGGUGGUGACGCCGCCUUGGGCUCCAUGAUGACCUCCGUCUUGCCGUCCUCCUGGUCUUGGUCUCAUUGCACCAAUAUAGCAACCUUUGCCUGAUGCCUUGGUACUCAUCACCUGCACUGGCCUCCUUAGCACCAAAGAGGAAAUAAGGACACUGCGCGCGCUGGUGCCCGCCUGGCGCCCGCGUCGUGUCGUUCGUCAUAGCUCACGUCACGAGAGCCUCGUGAGGUUUGCCCUGCCUUGAUAGCUCCCCUCCUCGUGAGCCUGCCUGGCUAGGCCACUCCAGAGGAGGUCUUGCGCCGUCCGCCUCGCGAGGCUUCGACCCUCACGAGGGUCUUGGAUGCCUUGUUGAUGAAGAUGGGUCGUACGGCCUGCUGGCUUAGCCACGUUGUGGGCCGCAGGCAGGCAAGUCUGGGGACCCCCGUUCCCAGAACGCUGACAGUAGCCCCCGAGCCCAAGGUGCGCUCGGGCUUGGCUUCACGGCGAAGCCAAGGGUCAAGUUCGGAGCAUCGCGGGCCCCAAAAGCCUGCGGCCUCGGUUGACGCGUGGCGCCUGAUUGGACGUGGGCGUCUCAGCUUCCCCACACUGCCUCGGCAACUGCACGACUUGACAAGUUCCUGCGACAUGCAAGGAAAACCAUCAUUACCUAUGAUCGUGGGAGAUGCUUGUUGGCCUUCUUCCGCUAUAAAUGGGGAGGGGGCGGAGCCCCCGUCGCCCAUCUCUUCCUCGCUUGCUUGCUUCUUCUUUGCUCCAUUGCUGACAACAAUGGCGCCUAUCAGAAGGUUUUCUGCCGAAGAGAAAGGAAAGGCUCCCCGUGAUGAUCCGGGGCCACUUCCGCCGAAGAAGAGGUCGAUCCAUCGCCGUGAUGAAGCGGCGAUGCAGGUGGUGUCGAGGCCCUGGUGUGAGCGGCCUCCUCCGGGGUACCCGCUACCCUUGUACGCCCGAGCUGAGGGCUCGGGAGGACGGAGUGAAGAGCAGCACCGCCCGCGCCGUGUCCGGGGUUGCUGCGCCGCGGUGACGCGUGCCGCCGCCCCUGGGAUCCACGUCGCGGACUCCUCGCGCGAGUUGGUGCUGUGGGCGCCGAUGCCUCCAAGCUCCUGGAUCCGCUUCCCGCGGUUCUUUUCCGACGUGAUGCCGCCGAGAGGGCCUCUCGAGCUCUGGUUGUAGCACGGCGACUUCAGCGCUCCGGUGACCGGAGCAGAGAUCGAAGCGGUUCCCACCGGCAAGAUCUUCAUGACGUGCGGCUGGGGGGAGAUCACACAGGUCUGCCGUGUGAGGGGCGCCCUCGCGAUCCAUUUCGAGUACGAUGACGCUUCCACACUCUUCUUCAAGGUCUUCGACGCCGAGGGCCGCCGUCUGGAGUGCUGCUCCGGAGAGGAGCGCGAAACUGACGCGCGCUCCGCUCGCGGCUACUCCAGAGCAGCAGCCCUUGGGAGUCCAGCAGCUCUCCUGAGCUUUGCGAGACUCCGGAGACGAGUGACGACAGCUACGUGCCCCCGAGCUCUCGCCGCGCUCGGAGCAGAGCCGCGGCGUCUGGCCGUCGCUGCCGCUGAUCUGGAUGGGGUUGGCGCCGGCCCUCCGUGGCCCACUCUUGAUGAUGGCGUCCGCCACGGGAGGGUGUAGAUAGGAUUCCCCUUAGUACCAGCUUUUGCUUCCUGCGAAGAAUCAUGAAUCACCCCGUGGGGGCAUGUAAGGAUCUGCAAUGUCUUUUGUACUUACUUCCUUGUUAUGAAAACUUAGCGAAUGCGUGUCCCGUUAAGGCUCGGUCCCCCCUUUCUUUCCCCGCGAUGGCUUGUUUCUCUGCGCUGACAGGUCCCGGUCCCCAGGCGGCUACAGCCGUCGCUGGUAUGCCAGGUCGCGUGCAGUGGUCAAGGCCAGGAGGUGUGACGCCCGAGGUCCAGUAAGAGCCCCUGAGACGCGAUGCUCAGGAGGUCCCCCUUAGUGCUCAAGCAGCCAUGGUAAGGCAAGAGAGGGAGUUGACGUGGCCGCAACGGGGUCGCGGCAAGGCGAGGGUGACCAUCAGGCCCCAAUAUUUGGCCGAUCCGAGAGCAUGACUUAUCUUGUCGACUUCGCGGCGACUCAUGACGCUGCGCUGGAGCUGCGCGCCUACUUGUGUGGCAUAGCUUGGCCGGCCCGUACGAGUUUCCCUCCCCUCAUGCUCUCCUUAGUGCUCUACGUCCUCAGGUCCCGGCCCUCGAGCAAGCUCAGCCGCCGCUGGUAUGCUAGGUCGCGAUGCCGUGGUCAAGGCCAGGGGGUGAGGGCUGGAGAGCCAGUAAGAGCUCCCGAGUCGCGAUGCUCAGGAGCCCCCCUUUUAACGCGCAAGCGAAUUGCACGAGAGAAAAGGAGACUCGCGGUGCCGCCUGCUAUCCUUCUCACGGGAUCCCUGUGAACUGACACAAGAAGAAACAUGGUUUGCUGCUACAGCUGUCAGCCUGCCGCUGGUUGCUCUGGAUGAGGUGAAGGCACUGAGGGCCUGGUGAGGUGACGUGCACGGGGCGUGCCGCGAGCCAGAGCUUGACCGCUCAGGUUUGUUGACGUGACAGGGACAGACCCAUGCACCAGCGCCGUGCCUGUGUGGAGGCCCCGGGGGAGGCGAUGAUCGAGCAGGCGAUAGCCGUUGGCAGUUUAAGCAUGGAGAGCAGAUCAACUUGGAUAAAUGCAGGAAGAUACAUGCCACCGGGUCUGGCCCGAGCGGCUUCGGGAUGAUGCAGCCCAAGGGGCGCCCCCAGCAAGGUAAGCUAAAGACGUAAGCAAAAGGGAUAAAUGCCACAGGGACGGACCCAUGCGGCCUGGGAAUAAUGCAGCCCGAGGGGCGCUCCCAGCUAAACGAGCUUGGAAGAUGUCACCUGGUUCUGUAGACGAAGUAGAGUUGGUGCAGCUGAAGUCGUGCGUUGAAGAAAUGACCCCUCAUGAGCCGCCGGAGCCCUGAGCCUCGGGAGGCUCUGGCGGCUCGGGAGGUUCCCUGAAGAUCGUCUCCAUCUCCUUCAGAACGGCGUGGCACCUGGCCUCCUGAGCCGCCAGGACACGCCGCAUGCUGCGCUGAUAGGCCGACGCCACGCUCAGCAAGCCAAAGGGCAUACGAAUGUAGCUGUGCAGCGGGCCCUCGCAGCGGCCCACACGCGAAGGCCAAAAACACUCCUGAGAUGCGGCCCUGUUGAGCCCUGGGACGUCAACGCAGACACGCAGCCCGACAUCCUCGCCUGGAUGGGGAGCUACGCCCUGUGAGCGGCGGUCGCCGCGCAUGGCUCUUGUGUCUUGCAGUUCCUGUGUGGUCUUGGUGAUGAACUCCUAGGUGGUGGGCACUCCUUGCCCCGUGCUCUCCUGAGGCACACGUGCCACGAAGCACGCCUCCAAGUGGUGCCCAAGUGCCUCCCGCGUGAGGGUGGCAAGGUCUGAGGCCCUCCAGAAGAGAGCCCCCGAGCCCUGCCCGAGGAGGGCGCUGGGCGCGCUUUCCUAUGCGAUAGAGGGAGGCGCCCUGGGACGGGCGCUGAUCCUGAUGAGGCUCCUUCCGCGUCGCCAUCCUCCUGAGGUCCUGCGUGGCACAACUGCUUCUUCUUGGGGAUGGCCUUCGGAGGGCCCUUGAUUCUGCUGUCGGGGUCGUCGAUUGCUGCGGCUUGAAAGGCGCGCUCGAGGGAGCACACCACAUCCCUCUCUUCACAUGGGACCGUGAUGAUCCCUCUGCUUCCUGGCAUCUUGAGAACGUUGUAGCCGUGAUUGGUGACUGCCAUGAACUUGGCCAGGGCUGGAUACCCGAGGAUGGCAUUGUACGGCAGGCGGAUGUGCGCGACGUCGAAGUCGAUGAGCUCGGUGCGGUAGUUCUUGCGCUCCCCGAAGGUGACAGGCAGGCGGACCUGCCCUAUCGGUGUGGUGGAACCAUCGGUCACUCUUGAGAAAGGCUUGGUGGGCUGGAGCUGUUCAUAUGGCACUUGGAGGUUGUCAAACGUGUCGACGGACAGGACGUUGAGCCCUGCGCUGCCGUCGAUGAGGGUCUUGGUAACCUGCACAUUGCUGAUGACUGGGGAACACAACAUUGGGAGGGCGCCAGCGGUGGCUGCGCACUUGAGCUGAUCUGCCGAGUUGAAAGUGAUGGCGCAUUGGGACCACUUGAGCGGGCGCGUGGCCUCGAGCUUGGGGAGCACCGCAUUCACCUCGCGAGCGAACUAUUUAAAGAUGCGCUGAGAGGCUGGGGCCUGGGUGCCGCCCAAGAUGCAGGCGAUCGCACGCGGCUCCUGGAAGCCCCCAUCCCCCUCGUCGUGGUGGUGGUUGUCGUUCCUUCUUGGUGGCGGCAGCGGGGGAAGACCGGUGUUGCCUUGGGGGCGAUCCUCACGAGGCGGGUCCCUCCAGAUACCCUCGCGAGGUUGGUCCUGCCAGCGGUCCUCACGAGGCCGGUCGGGCCACUCCUGGCGCGGGCCACGGUCGUCCCAGCGUCCGCCUCCACAUCCUCCUCCGCGGCCGUAGCCCAGGUCACUGCGCUUGGGGCAUCGACCGAAGCGUCCUUCUCGUAUGGCUCUGAGCUCUUGACAGUCGCUGGUGUUGUGGGUGUUCAGGUUGUGGAAGGCGCAGAACGGCCGUCUGCUCUUGGAAGACUCGGGCUGAUCUCUCCCUCGCUUGGUGUCGGGCUCCGCUGCGAGCACAGCUGCCUCCUUGUGCUUCACGUCCUUGGCCUUGGUUUUCUUCUCCUCCGCGCCCAUGGCUGGCAGCUCAAGGAGAGAGAGGCGCCCCUCCUCAGCUCUUGCGCACUUGGUCGCCAGGUUGAACAACUCCUGAGAGGUGCAGAGCUCCUCGUGGAUGGCGAGCUCUUCCUUCAUCUUGACAUCACGGACGCCGUCUGAGAACGCGGAGAUGAUGGCUUCGUCUGUGACCUUGGUGAUCUUGAGGCGGGUGUUGUUGAAGCGCUGGAUGUACUUCUGGAGGGUCUCUCCUGGUUGUUGCUUGAUGCGGCGUAGAUCACCCGCGGCCGGCGGGCGGUCGCGAGUGCCCUCGAAGUUGGCGACGAAGCGGUUGUGCAUUUCGUCCCAAGAGGAGAUCGAGCUGUGCUGUAGGUUCAGGAGCCCGGAGCGGGCUCCAUCCUUGAGAGACAUGGGAAACCAGUUCGCCAUGACUUUUUCAUCGCCAUUGGCCGCUUCGAUGCUCAGCUCAUAGAGCUGCAGGAACCCCGCGGGUUCGGCGGUACCGUCAUAGCGAGGAGGCAGAUCCGGCUUGAACUUGCCUGGCCAGGCGACACUACACAGCUCAGGGGUUAAGGCGCGACAGCCAGCCGUGGUUGCCGGGGCACGCUUCGGCGGUGGAGCUUGGUCUUGACGAGGUCCGCGCUGCACCGCUGCAGGCAAUGCGCGGUCUUGACGAGGUGGCGCGGGGAGCGCAGGUGCUGCUUCUCGCGGCCGCGGGAUUUCUUGGCAGCUUCUCUCUUCGCGCACGGGCACCGGGCGUGGUGGAUCACGCCGCGGAGCCGCGCGCCUUGGUGCCAAGGCACCGUCUUAGGGCAGAGGUGGUGGAGGCACGCCAUGAGCCUCGUUGCCCGUGGCUGGUUGAGGGGGAGGUAGAGAGAGGGACGGCACCAGGGAGCCCCCUGCGGCGCGGACGAGCUCGGCGACGCGGUCGAGCCACUCCUCAUAGAGGUCGUCGACGGGGUGGUUGCGCAGGAGUUCAUUCGCCGCGAGGAGCGCGGCCCGCGUGAGACGAAGAACCGGCAGGGGUCAGCGAUGGAGUGGUGGUGUGGCCGUCCUGCCGCACCGAAGGGUGCAGCGAGGACGCCUGCUGCUCGUUCCCCACCGGGCCGGUGGCAGCAUUAGCGGCGGGAGACGGAGAACGACGAGGUGGCCCGCCACUGGGAGCCGUCUGAGCAACGCGGACGGUGAGGGCAGCCCGACGCUUAGCCCGAGCACGGCGAGCGUCCGCAAUGGAGAUGAUGGAACGACGAACUGACGGAAUGGAAGCUACGGCGCACCCCUACUUGGCGCGCCAAAUGUCGGAUGUGGGGUUCCGGCAAACCCUUAAUGUUCGAACACUGGGGUGCGCGCGAAGUCUUUCCCUCCUACCGAUCUACCUCUAGCUCGCUAAGAUCUCGCGGACGAACUCGACGAACUCGCAACACAGAAAGACACGAGGUUUAUACUGGUUCGGGCCACCGUUGUGGUGUAAUACCCGACUCCAGUGUGGUGGUGGUGGAUUGCCUCUAGGGCUGAUGAUGAACAGUACAAGGGAAGAACAGCCUCCUGAGGUUGUGGUGUUCUUGUGGGUAGGCUCUCGAUCGGGUUGGAUCAAGCUAAGAUGAGAUGCCUCUACUAUGGUGGCUAGCUCUACUUAUAUAGGCCCUGGUCCUCUUCCCAAAUAUCGAGCAGGAAGGGAGCCAACAACGGCGGGCAAAUUUGAAGGGGGACAGCUAGUACAAGCUAUCCUGACAAAAGCGGUCUUCGCCUGUGAAAAGCUCUGGUGGUGACGCCGCCUUGAGCUCCACGAUGACCUCCGUCUUGCCGUCCUCCUGGUCUUGGUCUCGUUGCACCAAUAUAGCAACCUUUGCCUGAUGCCUCGGUACUCUUCGCCUGCGCUGGCCUCCUUAGCACCAAAGAGGAAAUAAGGACGUUGCGCGCGUUGGUGCCCGCCUGGUGUCGUUCAUCAUGGCUCACGUCACGAGAGCCUCGUGAGGUUUGCCCUACCUUGAUAUCUCCGCUCCCCGUGAGCCUACCUGGCUAGGCCUCUCCAGAGAAGGUCUUGCGUCAUCCGCCUCACGAGGCUUGGACCCUCGCGAGGGUCUUGGAUGCCUUGUUGAUGAAGAUGGGUCGUACGGCCUGCUGGCUUAGCCACGCUGUGGGCCGCAGGCAGGCAAGUCUGGGGACCCCCGUUCCCAGAACGCUAACACAAACCAACCUUACAUGUCCAUGCACAUGAAACCAGUUCCACCGACUGGCAUGCAACUUGUUUUGCAUAAAAGGUGGCUGGCAGGUGUCUGUUUCUCCUACUUUAGUUGAAUCGAAUUUGACUAUGGCUGGUCCUUGAAGAAGGUUAAAACAGCAAACUUGAUGAAUCGCUGUUGUGGUUUUUGCGUAGUUAAGAAUGGUUCUUGCUAGAAGCCCGUAGCAGCCACGUAAAACUUGCAACAACAAAGUAGAGGACGUCUAUCUUGUUUUUGCAGGGCAUGUUGUGAUGUGAUAUGGUCAAGAUAUGAUGUGAUAUAUGUUGAUGUAUGAGAUGAUCAUGUUUUGUAAUAUCGACAACCGGCAAGAGCCUUAGGGUUGUCUCUUAAUUAUUGUAUGAAAUGCAAGCGUCGUGUAAUUGCUUUACGUUAUCGCUAUGUGUUAGCAAUAGUUGGCGAGACGACCACGACGCAACGAUGGAGAUCAAGGUGUCGAGCCGGUGACGAUGGAAAUCAUGACGAUGCUUUGGAGAUGGAGAUAAAAAAGCACAAGAUGAUGAUGGCCAUAUCAUGUCACAUAUUUUGAUUACAUGUGAUGUUUAUCCUUUAUGCAUCUUAUUUUUCUUAAAAUGGCGGUAGCAUUAUAAUAUGACCCCUUCACUAAAUUUCAAGAUAAAAGUGUUCUCCCCGAGUAUGCACCAUUGCCAAAGUUCAUCGUUUCGAAGCACCACAUGAUGAUCGAGUGUGAUAGACUCUAUGUUCACAUACAACGGGUGUAAGAAAAUUUUACACAUGCAAAAUACUUGGGUUAAACUUGAUGAGCCUAGCAUGUACAUACAUGGUCUUGGAACAUUGGAGACCGAAAGGUCGAACGAGAGACAUAUAGUAGAUAUGAUCAACAUAGAGAUGUUCACCAUUGAUGACUACCCCAUCUCACGUGAUGAUCGGACAUGGGUUACUUGAUUUGGUCCAUUUGGAUCAUGUAUCACUUAGAUAACUUGAGGGAUACCUCUCAUGACUUACCAAGUAGAACUCAUCAGUUCAAUCUUACCAAUACCGGUUGCAAUUAAUGGCUAUGUUUUGUACGGUUGAUGUAUUAAGCAUGUUGUAGUAAACAUGCCUAACACAUUUUAGCUAUUUUCCGUACCUUUUCAUAGAAAACUGGGCCAUUCUCUGCUCUGGCAGCACCUGCCUUGCGAUGUUUAACUCUGCCAAUUGCAUUUUUAUCAGUGCCAGUUUCAAUGGGUAUUAAGCCUGUUGCAAUUAACAGUUGUAUCCAUUUUAACAGUUGUAUUUCAAUGGCUACAAACUUACAAAACAUGACUUCGGAUGUUGUUAAGCCUGUUGCAAUUAACAGUUGUAUCCAUUUUUUAGUCUGUCAUUUUGCUAUCGUGCUACUCUCCACAAUGAAGACAUACUAGAGAUGCUGCCCAUUUGCUAUUUUUAGUGGAUGUUAACCCUGUUGUACUUAACAUGCAUUUCCAUGUACUUACAUAGGGCCAUAACGGCCGAUGCUAUUUUUUGCCAUCAAGGUUAGCUGCAUCCCAUGUCUUACAGUAUUUUACAUCAUUUGUGCAAUUGCAGUUUGGCUUCUAACAUGUACUUGCUUCUUGUAGGUACACAUGUUAGCGGCACAGAUCCACUCUUCGACCCAGAGGAACACCUCGCCUCCGCUGCGGCCAACUUGGGGCGGGCUCUUGUCCAUAUGAGGUCCCCAGCAACUACCCCUCGGGACUUACCAAGUGUGAACUCACCAGUUGAAUCUUACCAGUUGCAAUGGCCAUGUUUCGUACGGUUCAUGUAUUAACACUACAAAAAAAGACACAUCCGUGACAUUUUGGGCCAAACAAUUUGUUUUCUGUCAUGCUUAUGACACUUCUAUGACGAUAAUUGUGACAAAACCCGGUAUCAUCAUAGAUGUGGUGGGCUCCUACUUCUAUGACAAAAAAUCAUGACAGAAAUGGGCUUUUCGUCCUGGGCGGGCCGGAGACGCAGCUGCAUGACAUUCUUUGGGUCGUCCAUGAUGGAAAAAACCAUGGUAGAAGCAAGGGUGAGGAAAAUAUCGGGGAGUUUCCGGUUAUGGUGGGUGGUCGGGGCCGAGCGAUGCACGAAGUGAUUGCGCGUUUCUCUCGUACACGUACACACGUGGGUGCGAGGCAUUGGGCUCUAACUGAACCCGAGCGAGGCAUUCGCCUACUGAACCGGAGCGAUUGCACUGCAGGCUACGCGUUACUGAACCCGAGCGAUCGAUCGAUCGAUCUCGCUGUUAACUAAACCCGAUCGAGCGAUUCCUUCGCUACUGCUGCUAACUAAAGUCGAUCGAACCUGCUGCCUCUUGAUGAACAUUGAGCGUUGUUGGGGGUUGGAUGAACAGUUCCCGGUGGGGGUUGGAUGAACAGGACCCCAUGGUUGUAGAGGCCGUUGCCGCUUGAUGAACAGGACCCCGAUCGAGCCGGUUGGGGGUGGAUGAACAGGACCCCGUGCAGGGCUGGAUGAACAACAGCCGGUGGAGGGCUGGUUGAACAGUAGCCGGUGGAGGGCUGGAUGACUAGUAGCCCGUGGAGGACUAGUUGAACAGGACCCCGUGUAGAGGGCUGGUUGAAUAGUAGCCCAUGGAGGCUGGGUGAACAGGAGCCCGUGGAUGAACAGUAGCUGAUGGAGGCAGGAGGGAGACGCCGUGGAUGAACAGCCGCAGGUGGAGGCUAGAGGAGGUCGACGAUGGAUGAACAGUAGCCCGUGGAGGCUGGAGCGAGGCAGUAGACGGUGGAUGAACAAUAGCUCGUGGAGCCCCGUUUUGCGGUACGACACACCCCUCCCGAUGAACAGGACCCCCGUUUCAACCAUAGGAGGUCAAAGAGAAGUCAGUUUCCUCCGUUUUGCGAUACGCCACACCCCUCCCGAUCAACAGGACCACGUUUCGACCAUAGGAGGUCGAAGAGAAGUCCGUUUCCUUCGUUUUGCGGUACGCCAGACCCCUCCCGGUGAACAGGAUCCCGUUUCGACCGUAGGCGGUCGAACACAAGGCCGAUUCCUCCAUUCUGCGGUAUGCCAGGCCUCGUUUAGGAUGUUCUGUCCAAGCCGGUUGGCUCCCAAUGAACAGGACGCAUUCCGUUGCCUCCCGAUGAACACAACACAAUCUCUCUGUUCUGACCCAGCCGGUUGGCUACCGAUGAACAGGAUGUCGUCACUGCUCUCCGUUGCCUCUCCAUUUACACGAGCCCUGGCCAUAUUUAUUUAAGUGGGAGUUCAUUAGUAAUUUGAUUAAUUGAACUUAAUUUAUCAUGAACUUAGUCUUAAUAGUUUUUUGCAUAUCUAUGUUGUAGAUCAGUAGCUCGCGAUAUAGGUCCCCUAUCUUUGAUAUGUUCCUAGAGAAAACUAAGUUGAAAGAUGAUAGUAGCAAUGAUGCAGACUGGGUCCGUGAUCUGAGGAUUAUCCUCCUUGCUACACAGAAGAAUUAUGUCCUUGAUGGACCGCUAGGUGAUAGACCUAUUGCAGGAGCAGAUGCAGAUGUUAUGAAUGUUUGGCAAGCUCGAUAUGAUGACUACUUAAUAGUUUAGUGCACCAUGCUUUACGGCUUAGAACCGGGACUUCAAAAAUGUUUUGAGCACCACGGAGCAUAUGAGAUGUUCCAAGAGCUGAAAUUGGUAUUUCAGACUCAUACCCAUGUCGAGAUGUAUGAGACCUCUAACAAGUACUUUGCCUACAAGAUGGAGGAGAAUAGCUCAGCCAGUGAGCAUGUGCACAGAAUGUCUGGGUACUACAAUCACUUGAAUCAAGUGGAAGUUAAUCUUCCAGAGAAGAGAGUGAUUGACAUAGCUCUCUAGUCACUAUCACCAAGCUACUAGAACUUUGUGAUGAACUAUAAUAUGCAAGGGAUGAAGAAAACGAGUCCCGAGCUCUUCGCGAUGCUAAAAUCAGCGAAGGUAGAAAUCAAGAAAGAGCAUCAAGUGCUGAUGGUCAACAAGACCACUAGUUUCAAGAAAAAGGGCAAGGGAAAGAAAGGGAACUACAAGAAGAAUGGCAAGCAAGUUGCCACUCCCGUGAAGAAGCCCAAAGCUGGACCUAAGCCUGAAACUAAGUGCUUCUACUGCAAAGGGAAUGGUCACUUGAAGCGGAAACUGCCCCAGAUACUUGGCGGAUAAGGAGGACAAAGCGAACAAAGGUAUAUUUGAUAUACAUGUUAUUGAUGUGUACUUUACUAGUGUUCGUAGAAACCCUUGGGUAUUUGAUACAGCUUCAGUUGCUAAGAUUAGUAACUCGAAACAUGAGUUGCAGAAUAAACACACACUAGUAAAGGACGAGGUGACGAUGUGUGUUGGAAGUGAUUCCAAGGUUGAUAUGAUCACCAUCGCACACUCCCUCUACCUUCGGGAUUAGUGUUGAACCUACAUAAAUUUUAUUUGGUGUUUGCGUUGAGCAUGAAUAUGACUGGAUCAUGUUGAUUGCAAUAUGGUUAUUCAUUUAAGUCAGAGAAUAAUUGUUGUUCUGUUUACAUGAAUAAAACCUUCUAUGGUUAUACACCCAAUAUGAAUGGCUUAUUGAAUCUCGAUCAUAGUGAUACACAUAUUCAUAAUAUUGAUGCCAAAAGAUGCAAAGUUGAUAAUGAUAGUGCAACAUAUUUGUGGCACUGCCGUUUAGGUCAUAUUGAUGUAAAGUGCAUGAAGAAACUCCAUGCGAAUGGACUUUUGGAAUCAUUUGAUUAUGAAUCAUUUGAUACUUGCGAACCAUGCCUCAUGGGAAAGAUGACUAAAACUCCGUUCUCCGGAACAAUGGAGUGAGCUAAUGACUUAUUGGAAAUAGUACAUACCGAUGUAUGCGGUCCAAUGAGUGUUGAGGCACUCGGAGAGUAUCGGUAUUUUCUGACCUUCACAGAUGAUUUGAGUAGGUAUGGGUAUAUCUACUUGAUGAAACACAAGUCUGAAACAUUUGAAACGUUCAAAGAAUUUCAGAGUGAAGUGGCGAAUCAUCAUAACAGGAAAAUAAACUUUCUACGAUUUGAUCGUGGAGGCGAAUAUUUGAGUUACGAGUUUGGCCUUCAUUUAAAACAAUGUGGAAUUGUUUCACAACUCACGCCACCUAGAACACCACAGGGUAAUGGUGUGCCCGAAUGUCGUAACCGUACUUUAUUGGAUAUGGUGCGUUCUAUGAUGUCUCUUACCAAUUUACCACUAUUGUUUUGGGGUUAUGCAUUAGAGACAGCCACAUUCAUGUUAAAUAGGGCAUCGUCUAAAUCUUUUGAGACAACACCGUAUGAACGGUGGUUUGGCAAGAAACAUACGCAGUCGUUUCCAAAAGUUUGGGGUUGCAACACUUAUGUCACAAAGCUUCAGCCUCAUCAGCUCGAACCCAAAUCGGAGAAGUGCGUCUUCAUAGGAUACUCUAAGGAAACAAUUGGGUACAGCUUCUACCACAGAUCCGAAGGAAAGAUCUUUGUUGCCAAUAAUGGAUCCUUUCUAGAGAAGGAGUUUCUCUCGAAAGAAGUGAGUGGGAGGAAAGUAGAACUUGAUGAAGGUAAUUGUACCUUCUCUCGAAUUGGAAAGUAGCACAUCGGAGAAAUCUGUUCUUGUGAUGCCUACACCAACUAGAUAGGAAGCUAAUGAUGAUGAUCAUGAAACCUUAGAUCAAGUUACUACUGGACCUCGUGGGUCGAACAGAGCACAUUCUGCACCAGAAUGGUACGGUAAUCCUGUCCAGGAAUUCAUGUUAUUAGACCAUGGCGAACCUACGAAUUAUGAAGAAGCUAUGAUUAGCCAGAUUCCGAUAAAUGGCUUGAGGCCAUGAAAUCUGAGAUAGGAUCCAUGUAUGAGAACAAAGUAUGGACUUUGGUGUACUUGCCCGAUGAUCGGCAAGCCAUUGAGAAUAAAUGGAUCUUCAAGAAGAAGACAGACACCGAUGGUAAUGUCACCAUCUACAAAGCUCGACUUGUCGCGAAAGGUUUUCAACAAGUUCAAGGGGUUGACUACGAUGAGACCUUCUAACCCGUAGCGAUGCUUAAGUCAGUCCAAAUCAUGUUAGCAGUUGCCGCAUUUUAUAAUUUUGAAAUCUGGCAAAUGGACGUCAAAACUGCAUUCCUUAAUGGAUUUCUUAAAGAAGAGUUGUAUAUGAUGCAACCAGAAGGUUUUGUCGAUCCUAAAGGUGCUAACAAAGUGUGCCAGCUCUAGUGAUCCAUCUAUGGACUGGUGCAAGCAUCUCAGAGUUGGAAUAUACACUUUGAUGAGGUGAUCAAAGCAUAUGGUUUAAUACAGACUUAUGGUGAAGCUUGUAUUUGCAAGAAAGUGAGUGGGAGCUCUGUAGCAUUUCUAAUAUUAUAUGUGGAUGACAUAUUGUUGAUUGGUUUCUGGAUAACAUAAAAGGAUACUUAAAUAAGAAUUUUUCAAUGAAAUACUUUGGUGAAGCUACUUACAUAUUGGGCAUCAAGACCUAUAGCGAUAGAUCGAGACGCUUAAUAGACUUUCACAAAGCACAUACCUUAACAAAGUUUUGAAGAAGUUCAAAAUGGAUCACUCAAAGAAAGAGUCCUUGCCUGUGUUGCAAGGUGCGAAAUUGAGUAAGACUCAAAGCCCGACGAUGGCAGAAGAUAGAGAGAGAAUAAAAGUCAUUCACUAUGCCUCAGCCAUAAGUUCUACAAAGUAUGCCAUGCUGUGUACAAGACCUAUUGUGUACCUUGCCAUGAGUUUGGCAAGGGGGUACAAUACUGAUCCAGGAGUAGAUCACUAGACAGUGGUCAAAAUUACCUCAGAGAACUAAGGAAAUAUUUUCUUGGGUAUGGAGGUGAUAAAGAGUUCGUCGUAAAGAGUUACGUCGAUGCAAGCUUUGACACCGAUUCAGAUGACUAUGAGUAUCAAUCUAGAUACAUAUUGAAGGUGGGAGCAAUUAGCUAGAAUAGCUCCAUGCAGAGCAUUGCAGACAUAGAAAUUUGCAAAAUACAUACGGAUCUGAAUGUGACAGACCCUAACUAAACUUCUCUCACAGGCAAAACAUGAUCACACCUUAGAACUCUUUGGGUGUUAAUCACAUGGCGAUGUGAACUAGAUUAUUGACUCUAGUAAAUUCUUUGGGUGUUGGUCACACGGCAAUGUGAACCAUGGGUGUUAAUCACAUGGCGAUGUGAACUAAUUAUUGACUCUAGUGCAAGUGGGAGACUAAUGCAAAUAUGCCCUAGAGGCAAUAAUAAAAUGGUUAUUAUUAUAUUUCCUAAAUCAUGGUAAAGGUUUUUUAUUCAUGAUAGAAUUGUAUUGUUCGGAAACUUAAAUACAUAUGUGGAUACAUAAAAAAAUACCGUGUCCCUAGUGAGCCUCUACUAGACUAGCUCGUUGAUCAAAGAGAAUGAUUUGUCAUUUGAUUACGGGAUCACAUCAUUAGGAGAAUGAUGUGAUGGACAAGACCCAUCCGUUAGCUUAGCAUAUUGAUCGUUCAGUUUACUGCUAUUGAUUUCUUGAUGACAAAUACAUAUUCCUUCCACAAUGAGAUUAUGCAACUCCCGCAUACCGAAGGAAUACCUUAUGUGCUAUCAAACGUCACAAUGUAACUGGGUGAUCAUAAGGAUGCUCUACAGGUAUCUCCGAAGUUGUUUGUUGAGUUGGCAUAGAUCAAGAUUAGACUCCGAGUAUCGGAGAGGUACCUUUGGGCCCUAUCGGUAAUACACAUCAUAAGACACCUUGCAUGCAAAGUGACUAAGGAGUUAGUUACACGAUGAUGUAUUACGGAAUGAGUAAAGAGACUUGCCGGUAACGAUAUUGGACUAGGUAUAAAGAUACCGAAAAUCGAAUCUCGGGCAAGUAACAUACCGAUGGACAAAGGGCAUUACGUAUGUUGUCAUAAGGUUUCACCGAUAAAGAUAUUCAUAGAAUAUGUAGGAGCCAAGAUGGGUAACCAGGUUCUGCUAUUGGUUAUUGACCGGAGAGGUGUCUCAGUCAUGUCUACAUAGUUCUCGAACCCGUAGGGUCCGCACGCUUAACGUUUGUUGACGAUAUAGUGUUAUAUGAGUUAUAUGAUAUUGUGACUGAAGGUUUUUCGGAGUCCCGGAUUAGAUCACGAACAUGACGAGGAGCUCCGGAAUGGUCCGGAGGUAAAGAUUGAUAUAUAGGACGAUAAUAUUCGGACUCCGGAAGAGUUUUGUAGUGCACCGGGUAGUUAUGGAUCACCGUAAGGGGUUCCGGGCACCCCCGGGAAGUAUAUGGGCAAAAGAGGGGAUCACACCAGCCCACAAGGGGCUGGCGCGCCCUUCCUAUGGCAGCCAGCCUAGGGGAGGAAAGGAAAGGGGGGAUUCAGCCUCCCCCUUCCUUUNNNNNNNNNNNNNNNNNNNNNNNNNNNNNNNNNNNNNNNNNNNNNNNNNNNNNNNNNNNNNNNNNNNNNNNNNNNNNNNNNNNNNNNNNNNNNNNNNNNNNNNNNNNNNNNNNNNNNNNNNNNNNNNNNNNNNNNNNNNNNNNNNNNNNNNNAAGUAGGAUUCGGCCCUACUUGGGCCACCCCUUGGCCUCUCCCCUAUCCCCACCUAUAUAUAUGUGGGAGGGGGCGCGACACAGAACCACGACAAUUGCUUAGCCGUGUGUAGCGCCCCCCUCCACAGUUUAGUCCAUCGGUCAUAUUUUCGUAGUGCUUAGGAGAAGCCCUACGGAGAUAGCUUCACCAUCACCGACACCACGCCGUUGUGCUGCCGGAACUCAUCCACUACUUUGCCGUGAUGCUGGAUCAAGAAGGCGAGGACGUUACCGAGCUGAACGUGUGCUGAACGCGGAGGUGUCAUGUGGCACCCCGACUCAGAGCAACCGGUUUACCUUGCAUUGCCAUCCCAGAGAUCAAGUCUUCUGGCAAUACACAACAACAUGGUACAGAAACAACCGCUUUAUUGAUGCUAGCGGAUUACAUAGGUCUGAUAUUACAUCGAGAUUCGAGGCUGUAACACCCUGAGAAUCAUGCUACAGUAACCCCCUGUGAUUAAGCUAAUCAUGUUGCUAAACAGGGCUUGAUCACAUUUGAACCACACCCCUGUCAAACUCCUAGUUCAAACUUCAAAUAUAAUUAAAGUGAAAAAUAAAAGUUUUCAAAACUCAAACAAAAAUGUUCUGUGGGUGCUAAAUAAUACACUGGCAAUUAUGGUGGAGAAAACUCCUAUUUAUAAAAUGCCUAAAUACUUUAAAUGAAAUAAAACAGAAAAGGAAAUAAACAAAUAAAAAGAAAACAGAAAACAGAAACAGUCAGAGAAAAAAAANNNNNNNNNNNNNNNNNNNNNNNNNNNNNNNNNNNNNNNNNNNNNNNNNNNNNNNNNNNNNNNNNNNNNNNNNNNNNNNNNNNNNNNNNNNNNNNNNNNNNNNNNNNNNNNNNNNNNNNNNNNNNNNNNNNNNNNNNNNNNNNNNNNNNNNNNNNNNNNNNNNNNNNNNNNNNNNNNNNNNNNNNNNNNNNNNNNNNNNNNNCCCCUCUUCCCCACGCCCGACGCGCUCGCCGCCGUUCCCGUCGUUCUCGCGGCCACCGUGCCCCACUCGCCACCCCGCCGUGUCGUACGACGUCGCCGCCCUCGACUACACCCCCUCCGCCUCUCCGUCGAAGCUCGGAGCCACCGCAACGGCCUCCCCGAGCUCGCCUUCAACCUCGGACGCCGGCGACCCCCCUUCUUCCCCGGCGCCGACCUGCUGCUCCUAAGCACCCACGGGCCUUUCUUGCGCCACGCGGUGAGCUCCUCUACCUCCUCCCCCACUCCGCUAGCUCGCCCACGCUCCCUAGCUUUUCCCCCACGCGCGCCCGAACGCCGCGCCGCGGAGCUCGCCGCCGGCGGGUCUCCGGUGACCAAAUGGUCACGGGCUCAAGCUCACAGCGCUCCCCACCGCACGUAGAAGCUCCCCAGCCCCUCCGCUUGCUCGACCGCCUGCCGUAGCCCUGUUUCCGUCGGGCACCCGUGCGCGCCGCCGCCUCCGCCGCUCGCCGGUGCCGAUUCCGGCCGAGUCCGGCGAAGCCCCGGCCACCCCUGGAUGCGGCGCUGCGAGUUCUUUCGAAUGGGCCUAGCCCCGUUCCUCCCCGAGCCCCGUAGCGCAAUUCCGGCCAACUCCGGCGAGGGACCGCCGCGGUUUUGGUCGCCGGAGUUGCGCCGGCGCCGGCCGCCGACGUGGCACACCUGGGGCCACCCCCUGGGUCACUGCCAGUGGCCCCCACGGGCCCAGUUGACUGGGUUGACCCAGUCAACUGCUGACUGGGCAGGCCCAGUCACUGACAUGCGGGCCCCGCCGCAAAAAUUAAAAAAGGAAAUGUUUUAUAAAUAAAAAUAAUUAGUUUAAUUAAUCUCUUCUGACAGGUGGGCCCAGUAGUUAAUUAACUAAAAACUAAUUAGUUUAAUCCUCUGUUAACCCACUGUCUAUGACAGGUGGGUCCCCCUUGUCAGUUUGACCAGUCAACCCGGACUGUUGACCGCUGACGUCACUCAUACGUCAUGCUGACGUCAUAUCCCUUUUUCUGUUAAUUAAAUAAUUCCAGAAAUUCAAAUAAACUUUGAAAAUUCAUAUCUUUUAAACCGUAACUCGGAUGAAAAUGUUUUCUAUAUGAAAGUUGCUCAGAACGACGAGACGAAUCCGGAUACGCAGUCCGUGCGUCCACCACACCUCCCUAACCUAUCGAACUCGCAACUUUCCCCCUCCGGUCCUUCUGUCCGAAAACGCAAAACAUCGGGAAUACUUUCCCGGAUGUUCCCCCCCUUCACCGGUACCACCUACUGUCGCGUUAGGACACCCCUAGCACCGCUCACUGUCAUGUCACGCAUCGUCAUGCUUGUGUUUGCAUUGUAUUUACUGUUUCUUCCCCCUCUUCUCUCCGGUAGACUACGAGACCGACACUGCUGCUGCCCAGUUCGACUACGGAGUCGACGACCCCUCCUACUUGCCAGAGCAACCAGGCAAGCCCCCCCCUUGAUCACCAGAUAUCGCCUACUCUCCUCUAUACUGCUUGCAUUAGAGUAGUGUAGCAUGUUACUGCUUUCGGUUAAUCCUAUUCUGUUGCAUAGCCUGUCAUUGUUGCUACAGUUGUUUCCCUUACCUGCUACCCUACUGCUUAGUAUAGGAUGCUAGUUUUCCAUCAGUGGCCCUACAUUCUUGUCCGUCUGCUGUGCUAUACUAUCAGGCCGUGAUCACCUGGGCGGUGGACACGGGCAUAUACUUAUAUAUUAUAUACAUGACACCUGAGAUGACUAAAGUCGGGUCGGCUCGUAGGAGUACCCGCAAGUGGAUCUUUGUGGCGAAGCGACAGGGCAGGUUGAGACCGCCUAGGUGAGAGGUGGGCCUGGCCCUGGUCGGCGUUCGCGAAUACUUAACACGCUUAACGAGAUCUUGGUAUUUGAUCUGAGUCUGGCCAUUUGGUCUAUACGCACUAACCAUCUACGUGGGAGUAGUUAUGGGUAUCCCGACGUCGUGGUAUCAGCCGAAGCUCUUUUGACGUCAGCGACUGAGUGGCGCGCGCCGUGUUGGACCGCUUUGACAUAACCGCCGUGAUCGUGUGGGUUGCUAGGUCUGCUCGCGGCCGCGUUCGCAACGUGCAGGUGUGCUUAGGGCGAUGGGCCCAGACCCCUGCGCGCAUAGGUUUAGACCGGCUUGCUGACCUCUCUGUUGAGCCUAGGUGGGGCUGCGACGCGUUGAUCUUACGAGGCCGGGCAUGACCCAGGAAAGUGUGUCCGGCCAAAUGGGAUCGAGCGUGUUGGGUUAUGUGGUGCACCCCUGCAGGGAAGUUUAUCUAUUCGAAUAGCCGUGUUCCUCGGUAAAAGGACGACCCGGAGUUGUACCUUGACCUUAUGACAACUAGAACUGGAUACUGAAUAAAAUACACCCUUCCAAGUGCCAGAUACAACCCGGUGAUCGCUCUCUAACAGGGAGACGAGGAGGGGAUUGCCGGGUAGGAUUAUGCUAUGCGAUGCUACUUGGAGGACUUCACUCUAUUCUCUUCUAUAUGCUGCAAGAUGGAGAUGACCAGAAGCGUAGUCUUCGACAGGACUAGCUAUCCCCCUUUUAAUUCUGGCAUUCUGCAGUCCAGUCCACUGAUAUGCCCCUUUACACAUAUACCCAUGCAUAUGUAGUGUAGCUCCUUGCUUGCGAUUACUUUGGAUGAGUACUCACGGUUGCUUCUCUCCCUCUUUUUCCCCCUUUCCUUUCUAUCUGGUUGUCGCAACCAGAUGUUGGAGUCCAGGAGCCAGACGCCACCGUCGACGACGACUCCCACGGCACUGGAGGUGCCUACUACUACGUGCAGGCCGCUGACGACGACCAGGAGUAGUUAGGAGGUCCCAGGCAGGAGGCCUUGCCUCUUCGAUCGUUGCUACUUUUGUGCUAGCCUUCUUAAGGCAAAACUUGUUUAACUUAUGUCUGUACUCAGAUAUUGUUGCUUCCGCUGACUCGUCUAUGAUCGAGCACUUGUAUUCGAGCCCUCGAGGCCCCUGGCUUGUAUUAUGAUGCUUGUAUGACUUAUUUAUGUUUUAGAGUUGUGUUGUGAUAUCUUCCCGUGAGUCCCUGAUCUUGGUCGUACACAUUUGCGUGCAUGAUUAGUGUACGGUCAAAUCGGGGGCGUCACAGAGGCCAAGUGACACACACGGUGCUGCUGGACGGUAUGUACAUUAUUUAAUGAACAUGACGGGGCCUCGAUCACACGAACUACGCGGCAACGGAAGAACGACGAGAUGGCACUCCAUAGCACAGGGACACCGACGUGGACACAGCCUAGACAUGAGAUGCGCUCCGAUGCGAACCGACUUGCCUGAAAGCUGGCAUAACACGCCAGGUCAGUACAUUGAAUGUACUUGCAAGCUCACAACAAACAUAAGCACGAUGACAGACAAUAUCAAGAUAUUUAAACAGGUUAAUGCAAUGCAAAACUACUACUGAAGGAACACAAAUGAUUCAUGCAAUGAGUCCCACGGACUCGCUUACCAGACGGUUACCUCAUAACCAAACGGUGACCAUACCUGGGUCACACCUGAAACCAAUCACUCAUGAACACCCCAAGUGUUCAUGCUUCACCACGAACCAAUGCAUCACAACAAUCACUUAGUUUGCAAGAUUUAUUAGAAAAGUUGAUCCAUGGUGUGACUUACUCACGAGUUAUGACCAUAACCGAGGACGCGGCUAUCGAUAUAUUAAAUACACUCUGCAGAGUUAGCGCACUUUACCCACACUACGGAUCACAUGGCCUCGCAUUCCCAUUCGGGAGGACCAAAGCAUUCCGACGAAACCCUCCCUUUGUCGUGCACUCUCCCCGGCCACUCCGACCAACUCCCCCUCAGGGCUACGUCUUGGGUGGCCUCGUGUCUACCAAAGACACGAACGACCACCGUCAUGGCAAAACGGUCCCAAACGGGGACAACGUACCAUAAAAACAAAAACGAGCACACAAGGUUAUGUCUGCCUACCGGGCCAGGGUAUGCACACCCAUAACCUUCCCUCGUGGGAGGCACCGGUGAUAGCCACAACAAAGGACCGAAUCAAGACCUUCCCAUAAGGUAAAUGUGGUCGCACUGAAUUAAAACCUGAUUCAGUGGCACCAUGAUGUGAUCAACAUCAUAUUCAAGUUGAAGUUAAUCAAGUUUAGCUUUGAUAAAAACUUUUUAUCAUCAACAUGAUAUAACCCAAAAAGAAUCAUGCAACUACUCGUCAUACAAAGCAAAUAACUCAUAUUCAUGGAUCAAACUUAUCAAUAUAUGCAUCUUGCAAUACUUAGAACCAAAACUUCUCUGGUUAUAACUCAUUUUUAUUUAUCAAGCAAUAUUGUUAUUAGUUCUUUAUUUAAAUGAAACUAUCACUUAGUAAAAUAACUCACAUUAAUUUCCAUAGCAAUAUGCAUAGUGCAAAAUAUUACUCUACUUAGCCAAACAAGUUCAUGUAUUCAACCAGUAACUAAAUCAAGCAUAUCAAGCAUGGUAAAGUAACUAGAAAUUAACUAAAUUUAUUUAUCAAAUUUUAAAUGCAAAUAAACACUCAUAUUCAAGUAGAAAAUCAUAGAUAUUGAAAUAAGACCAUCCAAAUGCUGGAGUGGCAUGCCUUAGUGUAGAGGAGGAUCACACCGCUCUUGGUUUGCUUCAAGACAAGCUUCUCCUUCUGAAAAAGAAUUUAAAACCACAAAAAUAUUUGUCAAAACACAUUUGAAAAUCACCAGAAAUUCUAGAUAGCAAGGAAAAUCCACCUUUUGGUGUGCUGCUAGAGCUUUCUGAAACAAAGACAAUGCAAAAAGAAUCAAAUCAUUUGGACUUAUGGUUUAGAAAUGGUGGCUGGUCGAAGUUCAGUCAAAUUUUUGAAUAAUAUUUGAAUUAAACAGAAAUCCUGGGGGGUGACGUCGAAGGCGUAAAACUGAAAUACGCCUCCACUCGUACCGCUUCGGGUGUGAGUGGUGAGACCGACAGGUGGGUCCCGCGCGUCAGGAGAGAGAGGGGGCGAGCGAGAUCAGAGAGAGGCGGAGCUUCGUCGGAGCUUACGCCGGCAACGAGGGGGUUUGGAGCUAGGCUAGAGGGAUUGGAUUGAAGCGGGGCUCGAGGCGCACCUGCCCGUACCCGUGGCUUGGCGAGAGGUGGACGGAGCUGCUCGAGGUUGAGCUCGCAAGCUACGGUGGCGAACGGGUUUCGCCGGAGAGGUUGAAGACGAUGGCUAAGGGAGGCUCUGAGGGCUUGGCGGCGUCUAGGCAGCACCAACAGACCACCAAGGCCCCGCCCAAACAGCUGCUUGAGCUCGAGAGGCCCUGGAGAGUGGCGGCUGGCCUGCGGGGAUCGCCGGAGUCCUCGGGUCGGGCGACGGCCAGAGGCCUGCCCGACCAAGCUGCGGUCGUUCUACGUGUUCGUGGGGGUUGUGUGGAGUGGUGCUUGGCCAGGAUUCGAGGCGAGGUCGCUUUAUAUAGCUGGAGCAAGGGGGAACGUGUCGCUGCCGGAGCUCUCUGGACACGCGGCGAAUGGCAAUGAGAAGCUCCAAGGCGAGGGGGCAAAGGCUCAGCGUCAACGCAGGAGCUUGCCCACACUCGCGAACGAGCACAGGAGGCGGUUGGGGAAGUGGACAAGCGCACGCGCGCACUGUGGCGUUUUGGCCGCGACGCGCCCAUGCUUGCUGCGGCGGUUCCGGCGUCGGCGACCGCCAGGGAGCAGUCAAGGGUGAUGGGUUGGGUCUUGUGGCGCGGUACGGCAGUCGGCGGCGAGCGCUGGAACGAGCACGCGCGAAACAGAGGGCAAGGCGCCAACCAGAGCGCGUCGAGACGCUGCCAGGUGCCGUAUCCUCGCGCGGUCACCAGGAUGGCAUGGUCAAAACGAUGCCCAGGAGUAGCCAAACCUUGUCUACGCGCUCGACCGUGCAGUGUUUAGUCUAGGAGAGGUGAUGGUUCAUGCCCAGGCCGACCAGACUUGACUCCACUAAGCUGACAAGUUUUUGUCCAGAAACUUGGUCGCCAAGGUUGGCCACCUUGUAGAAGGCCAUUAGGGCUGAUCUCCUGGGGUUUAGGGUUUCUUAGGAGGGUGUUUAAGCUCAAGAAAGAUCAAGGCUAAAAUCUCAAGGAAAAAUGUACUUGUUGUACAAACUGGAAGUUUGGCCCAGAAUAGAAAUGACUUUCUACAGCAAAAAUAUUCCAAAAAGUGGUGCAAUAUUUUUGCAUGGGAAGGUGUGCCAAGGUUCUAAGAAUAUUCAGGAAUUAUCUCAAAUUUUUUUGAGCAAGAAAAAUUGAGGUUGCUUUGGAGCACAAGUUUCUGAAGUGAGUUUCAGAGAGGAAAAUGAAUAUUUUACUUUUAUGAAAAAUAUGCAUUGGAUUAUUUUGAGGAUUUAUCAGAGGAAUAAAGUAGAUAGGCCACUUGGGUGAAAGUCAAGGAUAUGCCAAAGUGACAAGUCCAUUUGAAAUGAUUCAAACUCCAAUUCAAAUCAGGGCAAAAACCACGUUAAAAAGCAAGUCCGGAAAAGAGAGAGAAGGCAACUCCGGAAAAAGAGAGAAGGCAAAAUCCAGGCUGUCACAUGUCAUACGUUUGGUACUCGAUUGGUUGGAUCGCGAAGAAGUUUGACUACAUCAACAGCGUUACUAAACGCUUCCUCUUACGGUCUACGUGGGUACGUAGACACACUCUUCCCUCUCUUUGCUAUGCAUCUCCAUGGAUAGAUCUUGCGUGUUCAUAGAAACUUUUUGUUUUCCAUGCAACAUUACCCAACACUCUCACCUCUCCUCCUUCUCCUCAUGUCAAGACCUCCUCGAUCUUCGAACACUUCAUCCACACAAAACUUAAUAGAAAACUCAGUGAGAUCCGUUAGUAUAAUAAUGCAAAUUACUACUUUAAGUACUAUUUCAAACCCAUUCAUAUUUUUUGCAUUAUAGCUACAUUACUCUAACUUCUCCAUGGCUUAUACCACCGAUACAAUCCAUAGUCCUAUCAAAACAAGCAAAAGAAUGCCUAAAAAACCCAGAAUCUGUCAAAAACAGGGCAGUCUGUAGCAAUCUAAACAUUGACCAUACUUCUAUAACUCCAAACAUUCAGAACAAUUAGGAAAAAAUAAAAAAAUUGCAUAGCAGUACUAUGUAAAAAGUUCAGAAAGUUUUGACGUUUCAGUAAAAAAAUGUAAAUUCACGCACUACAUCCAAAGUUCUGUUUUUGCACCGCACACACCAACUAGCAAUCUAAUCAUCCUAAAGGAAAAUCUUGGCACAUUAUUUUUAUAAUACAACGGAUUUGUACAAUGAGAUAAUUAUUUUUGUUGAAAAGUUUCUAUAAUCAAGGUUUUCAAAGUUUCCAUGGGCAUGAACAAAGUUCAAGGAGCUCCCCCACUCCAACGGUGCUCGUCUUUCUUACUUUCACUUUCCUUUUUGAAUGGUUUUAAGUUCCCCUCUAUAUUUUUUUGGUUUUAAACUUUAUAAAAGCACAGAACAGAAUAAAAUGACUCUAUAAAACUUCCGGGUUGUCGCCUUGGCAGCGCUUUCUUUAGCCAUUAAGCUAGGCAUAAAGUGCUCAAGUAAUCGAUCCACCUGGAUCCCAAGGUAUAUCAAAGCCAAUUUUAAUUACCACUGAUUUAUAAUUUAAUAGUGAGCACAAAGCAACAUAAAUCAUGAAACAACGAAGUCUAACUCUCUUCCUAUGCAUCGGAAUAUGAUAAAAGAACAAUUCAUGCACAUCAAGUAAAGGCCAAUGCAUAGUAUAAACAGUUUGUUCCAAUUUUAUCAUGUUGGAAACAUAGAGAGGCGGAGAUGUACGUGUGGUUCCUCUCUCAUAAUAAUUACAAGUAGGACCGGCAAGCACAUGCAUAUCAUUUCCAUUAAAAUCAUUAGGUGCAACGGUAAAAGGAAACCCAUCAGUGUAAUCCUUAAUAAGAACAAACUUCUUUGAUAUAGUGUAGUUCGGAGAAUUCAAAGAGAUAGUGGGACUAUCAUGUGUAGGUGCCAUAGCAACAAUUUCAUUCUUAACACAAGGAACUAUAGCAAGUUCAUCUCCAUAAGCAUCAUUCAUAUUGGCAUCUUGGCCACAAGCAUAGCAAGCAUUAAUUUCAUCAAAAAGGGAUAUUUCAAAAGAAUCCAAGAGAUCAUAGCAAUCAUCCUAGAAUUCAUCCUUCGGCAAGCAUGAAGGGAAACUAAACAAUGUACGAGUUGAAGAGUUAUUCUCAUUAGAAGGUGGGCACUGGUAGCUAAUCCGCUCUUCCUCCUUUUGUUCUUCGCUCUCCUCAUCAACUUUUUCAUCAAUGAGCUCAUAGUUUCAUCAAUUUCUUCUUCCAUAGAUUCCUGCAAAAUAUUAUUCUCUUCUUGGACAGCGGAGACUUUCUCAAUAAACUCAUUAAUAUCAGCAUUAUAUUCAUAAUUAUCAUAGCAAUAUUUAAGUAUAGCAAAAUUUUCAGAUUUAUAAAUAGCAUCACUAUAAUUUUCAUACUCUUUAAACAAAGAUUCAAUUUCACAAGCACCCUUAAAAGCAACAAUUUUUUCUAUUCGUUCUACAUUACACUAAUCAUAUAUACCAUUAGCAUAAUAAGCUAACGUUUCAUUAUCAUUAAAUUUGCACGAAAAGGUAAGGUGUCGAGCCUUCAUCCUAGAGCAACAAGUAUAAUCAUAUCUCAAGCAUAGAUCCCAAGCAUACCACAACAUAUGAAUUUGAUCCCAUAACAGUUUCCCUUUUUGAGACAAGCGAUAAUCCCUAAAGUAUUCACAUUGAUCCAACGUAUCUCCCAGUAUCAAGUUGAAUGGGGUUUUCUUGGGAUUAUCAAAGUAGUGUUUAAUAUUUUUCACAUAACGAGCAUCGAGGGUUUUAGGAGGUUCCCCAUCUCCAUGAGUAGAAAGUACAACUAUUUUUUUGGUGUUUCGUGUUCCAUAUCCAUAGCUAAAGAUAUAAAACAACUUAGAACAUAAAAUAAAAACUACUUGGUGAUAAAGCAAAUAUGCACAAUCGAGAAUAUUCACCCCCACGCUAUUGCUCCCAGGCAACGGCGCCAGAAAAAGGUCUUGAUAACCCACAAGUAUAGGGGGUCAUUUGUGGCCUUUUUUGAUAAAUAAGAGUGUCGAACCCAAAGAGGAUCUAAAGGUAGAACAAAUAUUCCCUCAAGUUCUAUCGACCACCGAUACAACUCUACGCACACUUAACGUUUGCUUUACCUAGAACAAGAAUAAAACUAGAAGUACUUUGCAAUAAUAAAACUACAAAUAAAUUGCAAGAUAAUAAAAUUUAGUUGUUUAGUAGAAAUCUUUUGUCACACAAGAAAGUUAUUUGUCCCUAGGUGAUUGAUAACUAUACCGGAAAUCAUUAGCAAUUUUAUAUGUGGGAGAGGCAUGAGCUAACAUACUUUCCGCACUUGGAUCAUAUGCACUUAUGAUUGGAACUCUAGCAAGCAUUCUCAACUACCUUAAUGAUAAUGAUCAUUAAGGUAAAACCCAACCAUAGCAUUAAGUAUCAAGUCCUCUUUAUCCCUUACGCAACAACCACCUUAUUCGAGCGUGUCGGGGGAAACGACACCUAUGGGAUCCCAGGGAAUCCCUACUAUGGUUGGCGGUGCGUGGAGCUGUGCAAAUAGCAGGUCUAGCGAUCAACGCAAGGGGAUUUUUACCCAACUUCGGGCCGCAAACAACCCUAGUCCUGCUUAUCUGUGUUCUUUGGUGUUCUUGUGUUCUUGGACUAGCUACUAUGUGUGCAUAGUUCCAAAAGUCCGAAUCCUUCCACAGUACGCCUCGGGCCUCCUUUUAUAUGUCAAAGGGGUCGCCACAGUGGCACACGGGAGGUGGAAAGUAUCUACAGUGUACAAGGUUAUCGCCUGCGUAGGACAAUCACAUUUAAUGCGCUGCCUACGUGCCCCCCUUGCUUUAUCAGGGACGACAACAGGGUUGGUCCCGUCCGUUGCUGCCUCGCCUUGCUUCGACGCGCGUCCAAGCUGACGAGGCAUGCCGCGCCAUGCUGGCUGGCUGGUUGCUGCGCUGGUGCGGUGACAGGGUCUUCACGAAGAUCUGCAUGCCACCACGGAGGUGCUUGACUGGUUGGGCUAGAGGCCGCAUGUUGCCAUGCAGGCGCUCACCUAGUUGGCGGGCUAGUCACCGCGUUGGAACGGCCGUGGGGCAGCGGAGCUUUGGUAGGUGCGGGCCUGGCUGCGGCCCUGCGGAUGCCCCUGACAAGGGUCUCGCCAGGGUCUCGUGGGCGUCCCCGGCAAGGGUCUUGCCGGGGGUCUCGUGGGCGUCCCCGACAAGGGUCUUGCCGGGGGUCUUCGGUCGUCCCCUGCAAGGAUCUUGCCAGGGGUCUUCAGUCGUCCCUGGCAAGGAUCUUGCCGGGGGGCUUCGUCUUUUGGUCCUUAUCUAGACUUGCAGGCCUUUGGUCUUCACAAAGAUCUGCAUGCCACCACGUAGGCACCCCCGAGUCUUGGUCCUGAUGUUGCCGAUGGUGUCAGAACCCUCAGGUUCAAGGGUGGCGGCCUUGCUGGUGUUGGGCAAGUUGCCCUGGCAAGGCUCUUGCCGGGGCUAUGUGGGCUGCCCCGGCAAAGGUGUUGCCAGGGCAAAUCCAUCUUGCCCCCUUUGCUCUUCGUGCCUUCGGCUUGAGUGCUGCCUUGGCAGUCUCCUUCCUUUCCUUCCUCUGCCCCGCCAAGCAUGGCCCCAGGCGUGGCUAUGACUGCCCGUGCACAAGUAAAGGGGUACAGAAAGGCCCCUACUUUUGUACACCGACAGGGCGUAAGCUUCUGUCACUCUAGCCACCCACCAUAAGAGAAUCAUGAACAUAUUGAAACACCCUAUAGCGAGGAUCCCUCACAUUUGCGCAACACAGAGGGCACCAUAGGAUAGCACCAAAAUAAAAUAUACAAGUCAAACCGAUCAUGUUCAUCAAUCAACCCAUAGGACAAACAGAUCUACUCAAACAUCAUGGGAUAACCACAUAUCAUUGGAUAAUAAUAUAUAGUGUUGAGCACCAUGUUUAAGUAGAUAACUACAGUGGGAAUAUAGAGGUUGCACCGCUGCAUAGAGGGGGAGAAAGCUGGUGUUGACAAUAGCAAGGUUGUUGAUGUAGAUCGCCAUCAUGAUAAUUGCCCCGGCGGCACUGCGGCACCACCGAGAGAGAGGGGAGAGAGCCCCCCUCCUUCUUCUUAUUCCUUGGCCUCCCCCUAGAUGGGAGGAGGGUUUCCCCUCUAGUCCAUGGCCUCGGCGGAGGGGCGAAAGCCCCUACGAGAUUGGAUGUAUCUCUGUGUUUUUUUUCUGUUUCACUUUCAUGUUUUUCAGCCCUUCACCGUUUCUUAAAUUCCCGGAGAUCCGUAACUCCGAUUGCGUUGAAAUUUUUAUGUGGUUUUCCCCAUAAAUUAUCUUUCUUGCGGCGAAAUAAGGGGCCCAACCGACUUACGGGGAGCCCACAAGAUACCAUCGUGUGCUAGUGGGGGGAGGCCACACCCUGGUAUCUUGUGGAGGUUAUGGGCCUCCGUUUGUGUUGAUUCUACCUCCCAAAAAUCACAUAUAUUCCAAAAUAAUUCUCCAUAAAUUUUUAUCGCGUUUGGACUUCGUUUGAUAAGGAUAUUCUGUGAAACAAACGACAUGCAACAAACAGGAACUGACAUUGGGCACUUGAUCUAUAUGUUAGUCCCAAAAAAUAAUAUAAAAUAUUGCCAGAAGUAUAUAAAAGUUGUAUAAUGUUGGCAUGGAACAAUAAAAAAUUAUAGAUAUGACAAAGACAUAUCAAGAGUCAUACUUUCUUCGUGAUCCAAUUCGAUCAAGCACUGCAGGAAAGGGACCUCUGAGGUAUGCACAUGUACGGCUCGGUAACGUCUCCUUCUCCUUGAUCCAACAAGCAAGAGGGAGAGGAAGAUGGGGUCUAGGCUAGCAGCACGAUGCCGAGGUGGUGGAGUUUAUGGUGGAACUCCUCUAGGGCUUCACGAAGCAUCCAAGAGGAGAAGGGAUGAGUAGUCAGAGGGGAGGCACCAAGGGUUGGGAUGGCUGCUGCCCCUUGUGCCUCCCCCAAGCCCUAGGGCCAGCGGCUAGGGGGGACUUGGCCUCCAAGUCUCCCCCUUCCUUAUUUUGGGGCUAGGGUUCCCGGCGCAUGGGCCAAGGGGGCUAUGGCGCUUAGCCCAUGUAGGGCUGGUGCACCACCCCUUGGGUCCAUGUGGACCCUCCGGGGAAGGUGGGCCCCACUGUGGGACCCCCAAAACCUUCUAGAACCCCCCAAUACAAAUACUGGAAAAAACCGAUCAUUUAUGGAACCUUGAAAACCACUUUCCUUAUAUGAAACUUUAUCUUCGGACCAUUCUGAAGCUCCUCGUGAUAUUACAGACCCCAUCUGAGACUCCAAACUAUCUUUGAUCUCACCAUUAUGAAUAUCCCAUUACUACCCUAGUGUUACCAAACGUUAAGUGCGCGACCCUAUGGAUUCGAGAACAUGCGGACAUGAUCGAGACAACUCUCCAAUCAAUAAUCAAUAGCGGGACCUGGAUGCCCAUAAUAACUCCCACAUAUUCAACAAAGAACUUUAUCGGUUUGAACAACAAUUUCGAGGAUUGAAACAAUCCCAUAUUCCAUUCCCUUUGUCUCAUGAUAUUCUACUUGCCCGAGAUUCGAUCGUCGGUAUCACCAUACCUAGUUCAAUCUCGUUACCAACAAGGUGUCUUUACUCAUUCCGUAAUACAGUAUCCUCGUGACUAAACACAUUAGUCACAUGCUUGCAAGCUACUUAGGCUGUUGUAUUACCGGGAGGGCCUAGAGAUAUCUCUCCGUCACAUGGAGUGAGAAAUCUCAGUCUUGAUCCAUGCAACCCAACUAGUACCUUCCGAGAUAUCUGAAGAGCACCUUUAUGAUCACUGAUUUACAAAGUGAUGGUUGAUACCCACAAAGCAUUCUUCCGGUAUUAGGGAGUGGCUUGAUCUCAUGGUCUAAGGAAUAGAUACUUGACAUUAAUAAAGCUAUAGCAAUUGGAGCUUAGUGACAUGAUCAAACGCUAAGCUUAUGAUUGGGUCUGUCCAUCAUAUCAUUCUCCUAAUGAUAUGAUUUCGUUAUUAAAUGACAACUCAUGUCUAUGGUUAGAAAAUCUUAACCAUCUUUAAUCAACGAGCUAGUCUAGUAGAGGCUCACUAGGGAGACGGUGUUUGUUUAUGUAUCCAGAUAUUUUUGAGUUUCCGGUUACUACAAUUAUACCAUGGAGAAUAAACACUUAUCAGGAACAAGGAUGUAUGAUGAUAACAAUUUUCCUAUUGCCUCUAGGGCAUAUUUCCAAAACCAAUUGCUUUUCCUCACUACGGAUUUCUUCAUCAAAUCUUUGCGAGGAGGGUAGCUACACUUUUCACAAUUUAGUUGGAGUAGCCAAUCACAAAUGGUUGGUGGUAGGGAGACUUUUAUAGCUGGUGAACACAACCGCUAGGGCCAAUGUGAUUGUUGGAAGGGACACCCUUAUCUUGCAACUGACAUGUGGCAAUGUUCAGAUUUGCAAACACGAGCGCAAUGGAAUAAUUAGGGCAACACGUUUUCCAACUGCCCAGUGAUCAAUUUAACUUAGCUGUCCAGGAGAAUAAACUUCGGCACGAGAGCUAAAUGGCUUGCCUGGGCUGAGAUUUCCAAGUCUUCACACACUGAAGAAAUAUGUUCAAUUGACCACACAUACCCUCAAUCCUGCUUCAUGUAGACCCCCCUACGAUGUAGCUUAUGAUUAAAAUGAAAAAGUAAUGGAAUUAGUAAACAAAAUUCUACACAGCAGUCUCCAAUUCUUGAAUAGACAUUCCAAAUACAUCAAUAUUCUCACAACAUUUUUAGAGGCGAUCGCCCACUAGUUAAACCAAAGCUCAUGCAGUUUCACACGUGUAUACUCACAAACACAUUAGUUCCUUAAUUGUUUUGUCAUUAAUAAUCCAGAACCCACAAAGGGGACACUAUGGGCAGUUUGGUUCGCGUCCACAGCAUGUGACACCUGGCCUGGGGUGCUCCCUGGAGUUGCCUGGUGCAUGUUUGGUACAUGUCCUCGGAACGAGGGUGUAAGCAUGGCCUGGACGAUGGGACAACAAGGUUAGCCUGGUGGAGAAUAGAGGCAACACAAUUAACCUGGUCCAGGCUACCCAUUUUGGAUGCAUGGACGUGCCUGGUGGAGCUGCUUGGGAGUAAUCACGCAUUUUAAUCAUGAUGGUGCAGAGAACAAUGUGAGUAAGGAGCAAACUAUGAGUGCUUAGCACCCACCAGGCCAGGCCUUGAACCAAACACUUCUUUCAUGUUCUAGCCUGACCAGCCAACCUUUUUUCACUUUCUUAGACUAGGGCAAGCAGCAAAAUUUCUCAGGCAUGCUACUCAGGACAUGAACCAAACUGCACCUAUAUGCAUUUCGAGGUGGUUGCGUCGGCGUUCAGGGAUAUAAAAUAGUAGGACAUGACAUUUACCUGAGCAAGGGGAAGCGAGGAAAUUGGUUAGCUUCGUGACUAUUUUGGUUUGCUUUGGGAUUUUGAUGGGUUCGCUCUAUAAACUCAUGACUUCCUGCACAUAAAUCCUCUUUUAUUUCAACAUACUACAAUUGAAGUCGCUCACAUACACAAGCAUACACUCACCCCCUAUGAAUGCACCCAUGCACAUCCUACCCAUAUGAGCACCUCCGAUACACUUAGCCGACACAUCAUCUUGAAAAUUGAAGAAGUCACCACACACGCCUUUGUAGUCGAUGGGAACGUGAUGCAGAGCAUCCUUCCAUCAUCCCCAUGGACUCUACACCAACACAUCAAGCACCGCGUGGGCCUAUGACAAGAGCUCGAGCACGCGCAAUGGAAACCGAGGUGAACUCCCUACUAGACAUGCAUAUGGACACGAAUGGGACUUGGUUGCUACCUCACCAAAAUGCACUAUGUAUCAUUAGGUACGAAGAGGACCCCGUGCGCACGGGCCUCCGAGACCCCGUGCCCAUAGGCUACACAGGGAGCUACGGCUGUAGCACCCCGUGCGCAUGGGCCCAACAUACGCGCACGGGCCCUAUAGGACAGCCGGCUGAGUUCGGGUUUUGGGCCUCCACUUCAUCCACCUCGCCCCCAAGCCUAUAUAUUUUGUACCAAGGGUUAUGUUUAGGGUUAGAAAAUACAUAUGUGAGAUAUUUGAGAGCUUUUCUCCUUCUACCACUCCAUUGGAGAUCAAGGCGUCUUAGGAGACAAUCCACUUGUGGAUUUCAAGACCUCCUCUUGGAGAAGACUAUCAUCAUCAAGACCUCAUCUCUUAGGAGUGGGAAGAACUUUACCUAGUGCUUGUUUCCUUUGAUUGUUCAUGUACUCUUGUGGAUCUACGCAUUUGCUAUCCUAGCUGAUGUGUGAUUGGGUUUUGUUAGAGUGAAUUCCUCUUUGUGUUCUUGGUGUUCAUCCCUCUUUCCCGUCCAAUUGUGAAAGGAUCCAUCUUAGGCUUUCACCCUACAACAUCUUGGUAUCAUGAGCAAGGUUGAUUCACAUCUUUGAGUCCCUACCCCCCAUUUGCUAGCUUGAUUUUGUUGUUUUCAUCCUAAUUCAAAAAUCCCCACAAAACAUAGCCCCAUAAUUUUUCUUGCAAUUUGUUAGAUCUUGUGAGAUUUGGUUGAUUUGAUCCACAAAAUUGGUGUUUGACAAGUGGAUCUACCACUUACCAUCUUUCCCCACCCACCCAACCUUCGAUUUUGGCCGGAAAUUUGAGAAACACCCACGGAUCAGAGGUGUUCUUGCGCUCCCAGAACACCCCGUGCGCACGGGCUAUCGGGACCCCGUGCACACGGGCCUCACUUACCCCGUGCGCACGGACCACAUAGAGCAGUUCGGCCAUUUGCUCUUUUCCACCAUUUUACCUUUCCACCACCACUUUGGACCUUCCGCAAUAUUUCUGGAGAGCGUUUGAGCUUUGGAGUUGCAGUUCUCUCGUGUCCUAAGGUGUUUCGGCGACUGAGGCAUGAUUUGUCUUCAUCAUCACCGCCAAUUGUCACUGUCUUGGACUCCACUUCGACAUCGACCACUUUGUCUUCAUACCAACCGUAAGCAAGGACGGUAACCUCGACAACAUCAUUGUAUUACCCUUGCAAUUACCUUGAUAGCCUUGAGCCUCUUUUGCGUUACUUACCCAUCGAGACUAGCAAGUUGAGAAUUGUCGGGCCAUGCCUUAGUGCACCUUUAGUGUUAUGUCUCUCCCGUGCAUAUACUACUUGUUAUCUCGCAUUAUGGCUCGCCUAUCAAGCAUUGUGGCAUAGUCCAAAAAAAGCUUUUUAGCAAAAGAAAAAUAAGAGAAGCAAGAGCUUGUAAGCAAUACAUUGAGCCACUUUGCCUAGUUCAUCAUCUCGGUUCAUACAUACAUAAGCAUACUUGGGAUAGUAGACGACCCGUUUCUCUCUGAGGUUGGUGCACUAGCGUAUCUAGCCCAUUAGAGCAAUCGAUCUAGCGUCUCUCUCGUAUCCGUACAACAAGAGCAUUUCCCGUGGUUCCACCUCUUAGAGCUCAACCCUUGAUUAUGCAGAUCCCAUCUAUCUUCUGUGUGCGUGUUCCUAGUGAUAUCCUUGGGUUUGAUCUAUUUGUCUUACUUGUGGUUUGUUCAUCUUCUCAACUUAUUCAACUUCUUGACUAACAUUUGCUUGAAUUAUUUGUGCCACUUCAUAACCGAGGUCCUCCAUAAGCCUUUUACUUGUAGGUGUGAGAAGCAAAACCCGGUACCGAUUCUACUAUUAUAGCAUCACAUGGGAUCGUACUUGAUACAUCCACAAUCUUCGGAGAAGGUAUCUUUGGUAUUGUUCUCUCAUUUUCCUACUCACCACCUCUUCUACAUGAUGGAUAGGCUUACUUCUUCGGCGAACCCUCUCUUCGAGGAUCAAGAUGACGAACGCGACUACAUCACCAAGAACCACUUCUUCAUCGCACAAUGAGCUCUACAUCAAGAGAGUGAAGCUUUGGGUGAUUGCAUCGAGCAACUCGCCAUCGACUUACGGGAAUCGGAAGCAAGAGAACGGGACUAUUUGGACAUCAAGCUCUCCAAACAAAUGGACGAACUCCGCAACAUGAUCCUGAGCCACGCGUCUUCCUCAACCUCAUCACCAACACGGUGUUGAUACGCCCAUUUUGCAUCAUGUUUUCUUACUGUUAUUUAUGAUGUUUUCAUCCAUAAUAAUGCUUUUUGGAGUAAUUCUAAUGCCUUUUCUCUCAUAAUAUGCAAGGUAUACACAAAGAGGGAGAAUUCCGGCAGCUGGAAAUCUGGACCUGGAAAAGCUACGUCAGGCCACCUAUUCUGCACAACUCCAAACAAGCUGAAACUUCACGAGGAUUUUUUAUGGAAUAUUUGAGAAUUAUUGGAGCAAAUAACUACCAGAGGGGGCCCACCAGGUGGGCACAACCCACCUGGGCGCGCCAGGGAGCCCAGGCGCGCCCUGGUGGGUUGUGCUCACCCAGGCCCACCUUCGGUGCCCAUCUUCUAGUAUAUAGGUCAUUUUGACCUAGAAAAAAUAAGGGGAGGACUUUCAGGACGGAGCGCCACCGUCUCGAGGCGGAACUUGGGCAAGAGCACUUUUGCCUUUCGGCGGAGCGAUUCCGCCGGGGGAACUUCCCUCCCGGAGGGGGAAAUCAUCGUCAUCAUCAUCACCAACAACUCUCCCAUCUGGGGAGGGCAAUCUCCAUCAACAUCUUCAACAGCACCAUCUCAUCUCAAACCCUAGUUCAUCCCUUGUGUUCAAUCUUGUUACCGGAACUAUAGAUUGGUGCUUGUGGGUGACUAGUAGUGUUGAUUACAUCUUGUAGUUGAUUACUAUAUGGUUUAUUUGGUGGAAGAAUAUAUGUUCAGAUCCAUUAUGCUAUUUAAUACCCCUCUGAUCUUGAGCAUGAUUAUCAUUGGUGAGUAGUUACUUUUGUUCUUGAGGUCACGUGAGAAAUCAUGUUGCAAGUAAUCAAGUGAACUUGAUAUGUGUUCGAUAUUUUGAUAGUAUGUAUGUUGUGAUUCCCUUAGUGGUGUCAUGCGAACGUCGACUACAUGACACUUCACCAUAUUUGGGCCUCAGGGAAUGCAUUAUGGAGUAGCAAUUAGAUGAUGGGUUGCGAGAGUGACAGAAGCUUAAACCCCAAUUUAUGCGCUAUUCCGUAAGGGACCGAUUGGAUACAAAAGUUUAAUGCUAUGGUUAGAAUUUAUUCUUAAUACUUUUCUCCUAGUUGGGGAUGCUUGCGGGAGGGUUAAUCAUAAGUAGGAGGUUUGUUCAAGUAAGAACAGCACCUAAGUACCGUUCCACCCACAUAUCAAAUUAUCAAAGUACCAAACAUGAAUUAAAUCAACAUGAUGAAAGUGACUAGAUGAAAUUCCCGUGUACCCUCAAGAACGCUUUGCUUAUCAUAAGAGACCAUUUUGGCCUGCCCUUUGCCUCAAAAGGUUUGGGCUACCUUGCUGCACUUUUGUUACUACUACCGUUACUUGCUCGUUACAAAUUAUCUUGCUAUCAAACUACUCUGUUACUUACAAUUUCAGCACUUGCAGACAUUACCUUACUGAAAACUACUUGUCAUUUGCUUCUGCUCCUCGUUGGGUUCGACACUCUUACUUAUCAAAAAGAGCUACAAUCGAUCCCCUAUACUUGUGGGUCAUCAGGUGUCACUCAAGUCUCCACUCAUCGUCAUAUUCUUCUUCCGAUGAGAGUGCUCCUCAACGCGAUGACACUCAAGACCGCCAACCACAAGAAAAUCCGUUCCAUGGCAAUGGCCUACAAGAGUGAGUAUGAGCACGUGAGAAGGCACGACGUCAAGAACGAGAAGCCAUGGAUCAAGAAUAACUACCACCACAUCGUCCAUGUCAAGCAUCUCGAGACGGCAAUGCAAUCCGGCAAGAGCAACAAAGUCGUGAGGCUCAAGCUCAAGCUACUCAAGACGCACUCCAAGAGUCCACUCGAGCCAUUGCCCAACGCAGCCGUCAAGUACGUGAGCAAGGGAAAGCACUUCGUCAAGCACAACAAGAAUAAGCAGCCCGCCGUGAAGAAUAACAAGAAAGGCGAAAUCGAGCACAUAUGCCUCGACCUCCUCUAUGCCAAGAGCGCAACCACGAGAAAGAUCCCCCUCCAUGUCAAGAGAAACACCAAGAGGAGCGCCUGAAGAACCUCCCACCAUGCCAAGAGCGACAUCAACAUCGUCACUAUGAUGAAUAACUAUGCUACGACAAGCUCAAUUUCACCAUGCCCAAGUUCUCCGGAAGCAACGAUCCCGAGGAGUAUCUCUCAUGGGAAUUGAAAGUCGACAAGAUAUUUCGUCUUCACAACUAUGACGAGGAAAAGAAGAUCGCCAUGGCCUCCCUCGAGUUUCAUGACUACGUCCUCAUUUGGUGGGAGCAAGUGAUCAAGCGAAGCCGCGAGAAGGACGAGCCACCAAUCACCACUUGGACACAAAUGAAGGAUGUCAGCGAGAUCGCUUCAUGCCUACAUACUACACUCAAGAUCUCUUCAAGAAACUACAACUCAUCAAGCAAGGCACGAAGACGAUGGAGAAUACUAUCAAGAAAUGGAGAUUGCCAUGAUACGAGCUAAUGUCAAAGAUGAUGAUGAGCAAACAAUGGCACGCUUCUAGAACAGCCUCAACCACCCAAUAUGGAAGAUUUCUGAUUUCCAACCCUACUCCAAUCUUCUCGAGCUAGUUCAUCAAGCGACCAAGGCCGAGCGACAAGUGCUAGAAGACCUCAAGUAUGCCAAGUACAAUUCCAUGAACUACGGCUCAUACACUCAAGCUUCGUCAACUACGACACCUUCUACCUCGACUAGAGCAUCACCAAGUACCGGCGACAAGUCAAGUUCCAAGCAAGCGAUGCCUUCCUCGACAUGAACUCCAGCAAGCAAAUACAAGAACAAGACUCCUUCAUUAUCAGCACCACUGGAUGAUCCCGUCAAGACAAGUUCUAUCAAGUUCUUCACAUGUGGUGGCCGUGGACACAAGUCUUUCGAAUGCAUCAACAAGGGAACCAUGAUCGCCAAUGAUGAUGGCACGUACAACUCCAUGAGUGACGACGAGAUGGAAACUCUCGAGCACGUCGCCAUGCAUCAUAAAGUGAAUGAAGAAGAAGAUGCUCAAGUCUAUUGCAACAAUGAUUCAAGUCCCGCUCUCGUGGUCUCCAAGGUCUUGACACUUCAACACCAACAAGACUAAGACCAAAGGUGUCACAUCUUCCACACCAAGGCCGGCAUCAACGGACGUCCCGUGAAAGUCAUCAUCGACGGAGGAAAUUGCCACAACUUGGAAAGUGAAGAUCUAUGUUCCAAGAUUCAAUUGGUCAAGAUGAAGCAUCCACACCCCUACAAGGUCCAAUGGCUUAGCGACUUCGGCACCAUUCAAGUGGAGCACACCAUGCAAGUUUCUUUCAAGAUCAGCGCCUACGAGGACACCUUGGAAUGUGAUGUGGUCCCUAUGUCCGUGUGCCACCUUCUCUUGGGAAGACCUUGGCAAUUCGACCGCGGCAUCAUCCACAACGGAAGAACAAACCACUAUAGCUUCAAGAUGAAGGGAACGGAGUACGUGCUACGACCUAUGUCACCAAGCCAAGUGAUAGCCGACAAGCAAGCAUCCACCUGACGGUGUAAUGGACUAGGGGGUACUCACCACGUCGUCCCCCGACCAGCUGGAUCGGGUCGAGGACCCCCACGGCGGUUCAUUCAUGGGCCACUUCGGGCAGCCCAUGCCGCAUACAAGGAGGUUUCCACAAGACUUCACGCCCAAGCCAAGGACUCUCCAAAACCCUAGGCCUCCGAUGCAUAUAUAAACCGAGGCCAGGCUAGUCAAUAGACAAUUUGAUAUUCAUUACUACAAUCUCGUGGUAGAUACAUGUACUCUGUACUACACCCAUAUCAAUACAAUCAAAAGUAGCAUGUAGGGUAUUAUCUCUUCAAGAGAGCCCGAAGCUGGGUAAAAUCACGUGUCCAUGUUACCAUCACUCCAAGACGCGUAGCUUAGGACCCCUAAUACGAGAUACGCCAGAUAUAGAAUCGACGUUGGUGCUUUCAUUGAGAGCCUGUUGGGUGAUCGCCACGAAGCGAUGGGAUGAUCAGGUGAUAUUUUUCAUUAAAGAUUUGUUUGGUGCAAAUUAUCUCUUUGGCAAUAUCGUUGUUGCGUCGUGCUUCUUUGUUUACAGGUAGAUUGGGUUUGAGAAAAUUUUGAGCGGCGGCAGCCCUGUCCGCCGCCGGACAGUAUGUCCGAUCCAAGAAGCACCGGCAUGCAAUCAAUAGCCUGGAAUUAGGCCUUGAUCUAGGUCAGUACAACGACAAAAUUUGCGGUGAUUGGACGAGCGGCGUCCCAGCCAAGAGGAUGACGCAUACACGGCGGUACUUCACAUGGAACAGUACACCAAGUCCAACUUGAAUUCAGCCAUGCGGCCGACAGGGAGAUCCAAUCCUUCCUUUUCUUUACUUUCUUUAACGGGAGGUAGUCUACGCUUUUGUCUUCUUGUAUAUGUCUCCCAUGCACCUUUUCUAGUUCCAGAUUGAUUUGAUCCCUGCAUGGGUAGUACUAUACUAGUACUUUCUAACACCCACGUGGGAUGCUAUACCUCCUGCACCGUAUCAAUUUGGAUCUGGCGUCUGAUCGCUAGCUGAUUACCUCACAAAUCCUCAGUAUGGUCUAUGUUUGCGUUCGCUGCUUGGCGAUACAUCGGAUCCGGACUCAACCUGACCCACGGACGAUGCAGCCGAAGAGAUAGUGCGGAAGCCGCACCCUAACAGGGACUUGGCUCCAUGGCAGCACACAAAUAGCUUUUCUUGCUCCACAGACGCGGCAUGUGAGAACGUGUUGCACAUCAUCGGAGCUCUUGAGCGGCUGUGUUCCAGCCGAGCACAUGCACGCAGCAUCAAGCUGGAGCAGCAGACACGGGCUGAAUUCGGAUGGUUUGGCGGCAUACACGCUGGUACUAGUACUAUUACUAGAUGUGAAUCCAUGAACGCCCAUAUGUGUCUCUUCAGAUUGCUACAACAAAUAAACCAGGUGCUAUUAAUCCUAGUAAUUUUUACUUGCUUGGGUUUAUUUUUCCAGAGGAAUUAUUACUUUGUUUGUUCCAUCAUAUGUACACAGGUGUGUCAAAUGAUGGCCGCAUUAACGAUGGUUGCGUCGGGGACUCGGUUCGCCCUGCGAAUUCAGGCUUUGUCACACUGGCGCCCCGCAUCGACAUUGGCUUUGACGCCAGGCCACAUCUCUUUAAAAUAAAUAUUUUGCGUAAAUUAAUUACGCAAGGAUUUUUAUAUAUUUAUAUUAUUACUUUUUGGACUGCACUAUUUUACACGUGUAGGUAAUCGACUUCGACUACAUCACGCGGUCACUUUGGCUAGUCGACGUCGUCAUCCCAAUCGGCAUAAAUCGGCUUCCGUGAUCACCUUGUUGGUCGAAUUGCCAUACCGACAUGUUCAGUUGCCUCGGGGACUUCGGCAACGCUGAGAGAGCUCUACCUCAUCGAGUGUUUGGCACACAGGCCAUAUUUCUUUUAUUACUCACUUUGCAUUAAUUAUUAAUUAUGCUACAUUUUUUUAAUUUAAUACUAUUACUAUUAUCUCCGGCUUGCACUAUUUUCUGUGCACAGGUAAAUGCUCCGGGUUGGGCAGCACUGGCUGCUACCUCUUGAGCACUGUGUUGGUUUUCCCUUGAAGAGGAAAGGGUGAUGCAGUAAAGUAGCGUAAGUAUUUCCCUCAGUUUUUGAGAACCAAGGUAUCAAUCCAGUAGGAGGCCGCACUCAAGUCCCACGGACCUACACAAACAAAUAAGAACCUCGCAACCAACGCGAUAAAGGGGUUGUCAAUCCCUUCAUGGUCACUUAUGAGAGUGAGAUCUGAUAGAGAUGAUAAGAUAAUAUUUUUGGUAUUUUUAUGAUAAAGACUAAAAGUAAAGAAAGCAAAAUAAACGAUAAUAGAAAUAACUUGUUGUUGGGAGAUUAAUAUGAUGGAAACUAGACCCGGGGGCCAUAGGUUUCACUAGUGGCUUCUCUCAAGAUAGCAUAAGUAUUACGGUGGGUAAACGAAUUACUGUCAAGCAAUUGAUAGAAUUGAGCAUAGUUAUGAGAAUAUCUAGGUAUGAUCAUGUAUAUAGGCAUCACGUCCGUGACAAGUAAACCGAAACGAUUAUGCAUCUACUAUUAUUACUCCACACAUCGACUGCUAUCCAGCAUGCAUCUAGAGUAUUAAGUUCAUAAGAACAGAGUAACGCUUUAAGCAAGAUGACAUGAUGUAGAGGGAUAAACUCAUGCAAUAUGAUAUAAACCCCAUCUAUUUAUCCUCGAUGGCAACAAUACAAUACGUGUCGUUUCCCCUACUGUCACUGGGAUCGAGCACCGCAAGAUUGAACCCAAAGCUAAGCACUUCUCCCAUUGCAAGAAAUAUCAAUCUAGUAGGCCAAACCAAACUGAUAAUCGAAGAGACUUGCAAAGAUAACCAAUCAUACAUAAAAGAAUUCAGAGGAGAUUCAAAUAUUGUUCAUAGAUAAUCUUGAUCAUAAACCCACAAUUCAUCGGAUCUCGACAAAUACACCGCAAAAAGAAGAGUUACAUCAAAUAGAUCUCCAAGAGAAUUGAGGAGAACUUUGUAUUGAGAUCCAAAGAGAGAGAAGAAGCCAUCUAGCUAAUAACUAUGGACCCGAAGGUCUGAGGUAAACUACUCACACAUCAUCGGAGAGGCUAUGGUGUUGAUGUAGAAGCCCUCCGUGAUCAAUGCCCCCUCCGGCAGGACGCUGGAAAAGGCCCCAAGAUGGGAUCUCACGGGUACAAAAGGUUGCGGCGGUGGAAUUUGGUUUUCGUGGUGCUCCUCGAUGGUUGGGGGUACGUAGGUAUAUAUAGGAGGAAGAAGUAGGUCGGUGGAGCCACGAGGGGCCCACGAGGGUGGAGGGCGCGCCCAGGGGGUAGGCGUGCCCCCUACCUCGUGGCUUCCUCGUCUGUUGCUUGACGUCCACUCCAAGUCCUCUGGAUCACGUUUGUUCCGAAAAUCACGUUCCCGAAGGUUUCAUUCCGUUUGGACUCCGUUGGAUAUUCUUUUUCUGCGAAACACUGAAAUAGGCAAAAAACAAUAAUUUGGGAUGGGCCUCCGGUUAAUAGGUUAGUCCCAAAAAUAAUAUUAAAGUGUAUAAUAAAGCCCAUUAAUCAUCCAAAACAGAAUAUAAUAUAGCAUGGAACAAUCAAAAAUUAUAGAUACGUUGGAGACGUAUCAAGCAUCCCCAAGCUUAAUUCCUGCUCGUCCUCGAGUAGGUAAAUGAUAAAAACAGAAUUUUUGAUGUGGAAUGCUACUUAGCAUAAUUUUCAAUGCAAUUCUCUUAUUUGUGGUAUGAAUAUUCAGAUCCGAAAGAUUCAAGAUAAAAGUUUAAUAUUGACAUAAAAGUAAUAAUACUCCAAGCAUACUAACUAAGCAAUUAUGUCUUCUCAAAAUAACAUGGCCAAAGAAAGUUCAUCCCUACAAAAUCAUAUAGUUUGGUCAUGCUCCAUUUUCGUCACACAAGAAUGUUCUCAUCAUGCACAACCCCGAUGACAAGCCAAGCAAUUAUUUCAUGCUUUAGUAAUCUCAAACUUUUUUCAACUUUCAUGCAAUACAUGAGCGUGAGCCAUGGAUAUAGCACUAUGGGUGGAAUAGAAUAUGAUGAUGGGGGUUAUGUGGAGAAGACAAAAAAGGAGAAAGUCUCACAUUGACGUGGCUAAUCAACGAGCUAGGGAGAUGCCCAUCGAUUGAUGUCAAUGCAAGGGAUUGCCAUGCAACGGAUGCACUAGAGCUAUAAAUGCAUGAAAGCUCAACAAAAAGAAACUAAGUGGGUGUGCAUCCAACUUGCUUGCUCACGAAGACCUAGGGCAUUUGAGGAAGCCCAUUGUUGGAAUAUACAAGCCAAGUUCUAUAAUGAAAAAUUCCCACUAGUAUAUGAAAGUGACAAAACAAGAGACUCUCUAUCAUAAAGAUCAUGGUUCUACUUUGAAGCACAAGUAUGAAAAAAAUAUAGUAACAUUGCCCCUUUUUAUUCUUUUUUUGUGGCCUCUUUUUUGGCCUUUCUCUUUUUCUUUUUUUGGGACAAUGCUCUUUGAAUGAUGAUCAUCACACUUCUAUUUAUUUACAACUCAAUGAUUACAACUCGAUACUAGAACAAAGUAUGACUCUAUAUGAAUGCCUCUGGCGGUGUACCGGGAUGGGCAAUGAAUCAAGAUUGACAUGUAUGAUAAUAUGCAUAGUGGCUUUGCCACAAAUACGGUGUCAACUACAUGAUCAUGCAAGGCAAUAUGACAAUGAUGAAACGUGUCAUGAUAAAAGGAACGGUGGAAAGUUGCAUGGCAAUAUAUCUCGGAAUGGCUAUGGAAAUGCCAUAAUAGGUAGGUAUGGUGGCUGUUUUGAGGAAGAUAUAAGGAGGUUUAUGUGUGAUAGAGCAUAUCGUAUCACGGGGUUUGGAUGCACCGGCGAAGUUUGCACCAACUCUCAGGGUGAGAAAGGGCAAUGCAUGGUACCGAAGAGGCUAGCAAUGGUGGAAGGGUGAGAAUGCGUAUAAUCCAUGGACUCAACAUUAGUCAUAAAGAACUCACAUACUUAUAGCAAAAAUCUACAAGUCAUCAAAAACCAAGCACUACGCGCAUGCUCCUAGGGGGAUAGAUUGGUAGGAAAAGACCAUCGCUCAUCCCCGACCGCCACUCAUAAGGAGGACAAUCAAAGAACACCUCAUGUUUCAAAUUUGUUACACAACGUUUACCAUACGUGCAUGCUACGGGACUUGCAAACUUCAACACAAGUAUUUCUCAAAUUCACAACUACUCAACUAACACAACUUUAAUAUCACUACCUCCAUAUCUCAAAACAAUCAUCAAGCAUCAAACUUUUCUUAGUAUUCAACGCGCUUAUAAGAAAGUUUUUACUAAUCUUGGAUGCCUAUCAUAUUAGGACUAAUUUCUCAAUUUAAGAAAAUUACCAUGCUGUUUUGUAGGACUCUCAAAAUGAUAUAAGUGAAUCAUGAGAGAACAAUAGUUUCUAUAAAACAAAAACCCCGCCGUGCUUUAAAAUAUAUAAGUGAAGCACUAGAGCAAAAACUAUAUAGCUCAAAAGAUAUAAGUGAAGCACAUAGAGUAUUCUAAUAAAUUCCGAAUCAUGUGUGUCUCUCUCAAAAGGUGUGUACAGCAAAUAUGAUUGUGGUAAACUUAAAAGCAAAGACUCAAAUCAUACAAGACGCUCCAAGCAAAACACUUAUCAUGUGGUGAAUAAAAAUGUAGCUCCAAGUAAAGUUACCGAUGGACGAAGACGAAAGAGGGGAUGCCUUCCGGGGCAUCCCCAAGCUUUGGCUUUUUGGUGUCCUUAGAUUUACCUUGGGGUGCCUUGGGCAUCCCCAAGCUUAGGAUCUUGCCACUCCUUGUUCCAUAAUCCAUCAAAUCUUUACCCAAAACUUGAAAACUUCACAACACAAAACUCAACAGAAAAUCUCGUGAGCUCCGUUAGUGAAUGAAAACAAAACACCACUUCAAGGUACUGUAAUAAACUCAUUCUUUAUUUAUAUUGGUUUUAAACCUACUGUAUUCCAACUUCUCUAUGGUUUAUAAACUAUUUUACUAGCUAUAGAUUCAUCAAAAUAAGCAAACAACACACGAAAAACAGAAUCUGUCAAAAACAGAACAGUCUGUAGUAAUCUGUAACUAACGCAAACUUCUGGAACUCAAUUUUUUUUUACCAAAAUAGGACGACCUGGAUAAUUUGUUUAUUGAUCUACUUCAAUUGGAAUCAGUAUUUUAUCACGUUCUGGUGAUUUUAAACAAUUGUUUUCGUGAACAGAAAGUUUCUGGAAUUUUCAGCAAGAUCAAAUAACUAUCAUCCAAGAAGAUCCUAUAGGUUUAACUUGGCACAAACACUAAUUAAAACACAAAACCACAUCUAAACAGAAUCUAGAUGGAUUAUUUAUUGAAUAACAGCAAGUAAAAAUAUCGGGUUGUCUCCCAACAAGCGCUUUUCUUUAAAGCCUUUUAGCUAGGCAUAGAUUCAUCAAUGAUGCUCACAAGAAAGACAAGAAUUAAGGCACACAGAGAGCAUCAUAAAACACGUGACAAACACAUCUAAGUCUAACAUACUUCCGAUGCAUAGGCAUCUUAUAGGCAAACAAAUUAUCAUGGCAAGCAAAAACUAGCAUAUGCAAGGAAGCGGAAAGAAACAAUAGCAAUCUCAACAUAACGAGAGGUAAUUUAGUAAAAUGAAAAUUUCUACAACCAUAUUUUCCUCUCUCAUAAUAAUUACAUGUAGGAUCAUAAGCAAAUUCAACAAUAUAGCUAUCACAAAACAUAUGCUUAACACGAUCCACAUGUAUGCAAAGUUGACACUCUUCCAAAAUAGUGGGAUUAACAUUAACUAAAGUCAUGACCUCUCCAACCCCACUUUUAUCAAAAAUUUCAUAAGAUUGAACAUUCUCCAAUGGGAUCUAAAGUUGACACUCUUCCAAACCCAAUUUCAAUAAUAUUUCAAACACUAUUAUCAAUCUCAUAUUCAUCAUGGGGCUUAAAUAAAUUUUCAAGAUCAUAAGAAGAACUAUCACCCCAAUCAUGAUCAUUGCAACAAGUAGAUGACAUAGCAAAACUAGCAUCCCCAAGAUUAGGGUUUUGCAUAUUUUUAGCACAAUUGACAUCAAUAGAAUUUAUAGUAAAAUCAUUGCAAUCAUGCUUUUUAUUCAAAGAUCUAUCGUGAAUCGCUUCAUAAAGUACUUUAUCACAAUUUCCAGAUUCACGAAUUUCAAGCAAAACCUCAUAAAGAUAAUCUAGUGCACUCAAUUCACUAGCAAUAGGUUCAUCAUAAUUGGAUCUCUUAAAGAGAUUAGCAAGUGGAUUAGGAUCCAUAGAUCUUAGGUUCUCUGUUUAGUAAUAAAUAAUCAACUAUUCCAACCAAACGAGCAAAUGAGCCAAGUAAGACAUCAAAGCAAACGAAAAAGACGAACAGAAGAAGGGCGAAUAAAACGGCAAGGGUGAAGUGGGGGAGAGGAAAACGAGAGGCAAAUGGCAAAUAAUAUAAUGCGAGGGAUAAGAGUUUGUGAUGGGUACUUGGUAUGUCUUGACUUGUGCGUAGACUCCCCGGCAACGGCGCCAGAAAUCCUUCUUGCUACCUCUUGAGCACUGCGUUGGUUUUCCCUUUAAGAGGAAAGGGUGAUGCAGUAAAGUAGCGUAAGUAUUUCCCUCGGUUUUUGAGAACCACGGUAUCAAUCCAGUAGGAGGCCACACUCAUGUCCCACGCACCUACACAAACAAAUAAGAACCUCGCAACCAACGCGAUAAAGGGGUUGUCAAUCCCUUCACGGUCACUUACGAGAGUGAGAUCUGAUAGAGAUGAUAAGAUAAUAUUUUUGUUAUUUUUAUGAUAAAGACUAAAAGUAAAGAAAGCAAAAUAAACGGUAAUAGAAAUAACUUGUUGUUGGGAGAUUAAUAUGAUGGAAAAUAGACCCGGGGGCCAUAGGUUUCACUAGUGGCUUCUCUCAAGAUAGCAUAAGUAUUACGGUGGGUAAACGAAUUAGUGUCGAGCAAUUGAUAGAAUUGAGCAUAGUUAUGAGAAUAUCUAGGUAUGAUCAUGUAUAUAGGCAUCACGUCUGUGACAAGUAGACCGAAACGAUUAUGCAUCUACUACUAUUACUCCACACAUCGACCGCUAUCUAGCAUGCAUCUAGAGUAUUAAGUUCAUAAGAACAGAGUAAUGCUUUAAGCAAGAUGACAUGAUGUAGAGGGAUAAACUCAUGCAAUAUGAUAUAAACCCCAUCUUUUUAUCCUCGAUGGCAACAAUACAAUACGUGUCGUUUCCCCUACUGUCACUGGGAUCGAGCACCGCAAGAUUGAACCCAAAGCUAAGCACUUCUCCCAUUGCAAGAAAGAUCAAUCUAGUAGGCCAAACCAAACUGAUAAUUCGAAGAGACUUGCAAAAAUAACCAAACAUACAUAAAAGAAUUCAGAGGAGAUUCAAAUAUUGUUCAUAGAUAAUCUUGAUCAUAAACCCACAAUUCAUCGGAUCUCGACAAAUACACCGCAAAAAGAAGUUACAUCAAAUAGAUCUCCAAGAGAAUCAAGGAGAACUUUGUAUUGAGAUCCAAAGAGAGAGAAGAAGCCUUCUAGCUAAUAACUAUGGACCCGAGGGUCUGAGGUAAACUACUCACACAUCAUCGGAGAGGCUAUGGUGUUGAUGUAGAAGCCCUCCGUGAUCAAUGCCCCCUCCGCCAGGACGCCGGAAAAGGCCCCAAGAUGGGAUCUCACGGGUACAGAAGGUUAUGGCGGUGGAAUUAGGUUUUCGUGGUGCUCCUCGAUGGUUUGGGGGUACGUAGGUAUAUAUAGGAGGAAGAAGUAGGUCGGUGGAGCCACGAGGGGCCCACGAGGGUGGAGGGCGCGCCCCCUACCUCGUGGCUUCCUCGUCUGUUGCUUGACAUCCACUCCAAGUCCUCUGGAUCACGUUUGUUCCGAAAAUCACGUUCCGAAGGUUUCAUUCCGUUUGGACUCCGUUUGAUAUUCUUUUUCUGUGAAACACUGAAAUAGGCAAAAAACAACAAUUUGGGCUGGGCCUCCGGUUAAUAGGUUAGUCCCAAAAAUAAUAUAAAAGUGUAUAAUAAAGCCCAUUAAUCAUCCAAAACAGAAUAUAAUAUAGCAUGGAACAAUCAAAAAUUAUAGAUACGUUGGAGAUGUAUCACUGGCACCUCGGUGAUAACCCACAAGUAUAGGGGAUCGCAACAGUUUUCGAGGGUAGAGUAUUCAACCCAAAUUUAUUGAUUCGACACAAGGGGAGCCAAAGAAUAUUCUCAAGUAUUAGCAGUUGAAUUGUCAAUUCAACCACACCUGGAUAACUUAGUAUCUGCAGCAAAGUAUUUAGUAGGAAAGUAGGUUGAUAGUAGUGGUAACGGUAGCAAAAGUAAUAUUUUUGGGUUUUGUAGUGAUUGUAACAGUAGCAAAGGAAAAGUAAAUAAGCGAAGAACAAUAUGUGAAAAGCUCGUAGGCAUUGGAUCGGUGAUGGAAAAUUAUGCCGGAUGCGGUUCAUCAUGUAACAGUCAUAACAUAGGGUGACACAGAACUAGCUCCAAUUCAUCAAUGUAAUGUAGGCAUGUAUUCCGAAUAUAGUCAUACGUGCUUAUGGAAAAGAACUUGCAUGACAUCUUUUGUCCUACCCUCCCGUGGCAGCGGGGUCCUAGCGGAAACUAAGGGAUAUUAAGGCCUCCUUUUAAUAGAGUACCGGACCAAAGCAUUAACACAUAGUGAAUACAUGAACUGCUCAAACUAUGGUCAUCACCGGGAGUGGUCCCGAUUAUUGUCACUUCGGGGUUGCCGGAUCAUAACACAUAGUAGGUGACUAUAGACUUGCAAGAUAGGAUCAAGAACUCACAUAUAUUCAUGAAAAUAUAAUAGGUUCAGAUCUGAAAAUCAUGGCACUCGGGCCCUAGUGACAAGCAUUAAGCAUAGCAAAGUCAUAGCAACAUCAAUCUCAGAACAUAGUGGAUACUAGGGAUCAAACCCUAACAAAACUAACUCGAUUACAUGAUAAAUCUCAUCCAACCCAUCACCGUCCAGCAAGCCUACGAUGGAAUUACUCACGCACGGUGGUGAGCAUCAUGAAAUUGGUGAUGGAGGAUGGUUGAUGAUGACGAUGGCGACGGAUUCCCCUCACCGGAGCCCCGAACGGACUCCAGAUCAGCCCUCUCGAGAGAUUAGGGCUUGGCGGCGGCUCCGUAUCGUAAAAUGCGAUGAAUCCUUCUCUCUGAUUUUUUUCUCCCCGAACAUGAAUAUAUAGAGUUGGAGUUGAGGUCGGUGGAACACCAGGGGGCCCACGAGGCAGGGGGGCAGGCGCGCCCAGGGGGCAGGCGCGCCGCCCACCCUCGUGGACAGGGUGUGGGCCCCCUGGCCUUGAUUCUUUCGCCAGUAUUUUUUAUUAUUUCCAAAAAUAAUCUCUGUGAAGUUUCAGGUCAUUCCGAGAACUUUUGUUUCUGCACAAAGAUAACACCAUGGCAAUUCUGCUGAAAACAGCGUCAGUCCGGGUUAGUUCCAUUCAAAUCAUGCACGUUAGAGUCCAAAACAAGGGCAAAAGUGUUUGGAAAAGUAGAUACGACGGAGACGUAUCACUCGGCAUACCGACAUAUCACGUCACAUCGGCUCGACCGGGGGCUUCGUCAUCACUUCAUUAAGCCAUGCUGGGGACUUCGGCGUCAUACUACCGGCCUGCUCCGUUGCCUCGGUCGGACUGGGGGUUCCACCUCGCCACAUUGGCCGUGCUAUGUCGCCACUUCGGAGUGCCGAGCUCUUCGCUCCACUACCUUGGGACCGGCUUGGGGGCUAGGACCUUGUCCUGCCAUAAGCUCGGGUCGCGCAUUGACACCGAGCACAUUAACUAGCUAAGUCGCUUUCAUGCUCAGUUUCUGUUUUUAUUCUUGUUCGGUUCGACCAAACAUUAUAUUUGUGUUAAAAACUUAGUUUGUCAACAAACGUUGUUUGUUAAAAACACUUCCUCUCCCAUUUUAACUGGGGGCUCUUAAAUUUGUACGAGCCGUUCUAUAAUAAUUGUUUUCUUCCUAGUCGUUGCAAAGUCUUUUUCUACCACUCCUUUCUCGACUCGAGUGUGUGGUCAACAGCCGGAUAGCCUGUUUUCUCUCUAAUUCCACUCGAGUAUAGUUUGCUAAACUGGCCUAACAAGGAGUGCUCCACCUUCGGGAUAGGAGGUUGCAGCCAUAGGCUGAUCCGCUUGAAGUCUUGAGAUCGGAUAUGUCAUAUUAAUGCACGACAGAAGCACAAAAGUAAGACCAAUUUUCGGAUUGGCACCAAAUGACUCGAUUUAGUUCGGGCGUAAAAAUUUUACUGAAGUUUUUUGGUUUUCCAAGCCUAUGGCACUUUUAAACUAUUUGUAUGUUUCCAGCAUUAGUCUCGCAGUGCAACGCCGGACACCUUUAGAGAUUCGGCAAAAACAUUCUCGGAAAUUGCUAUAUAUGCAUCGGUUUCGAAUUGUGUCUUUGGUCAAUAGUUGGGUUGCCCGGCUCCUGUGCUUGCCUCCUACGUUCCGCUUUGUUUGGCUAGGUGUGCAAAGGGAGAACCACUGCGAUUGUGCUUCCAGCUCGCACGGUUAAGCUCCUCAGUGGAGAAAGCGGAAAACUGACUGUCACAAUAAGCAUAAACUGUUCAGCGAUCCGAUGACUGUGUUAAACUAUAACAUGGAUGGAGGUCACCCCAUGUUAAACGAUGGGCCAUUCAUAACAUUGGCCGAAGUGUUAACGACUUGACCUUGGAUGUCGCCGAACACUAACCGGGGGCUAGUAGCUGGCCUCCCACCUUUAAGCUCAUAUGACAAAGUGAAAGUUAUAAAGCCUGCAUAUUUGAUUGCCUUGUUUCCGCUAACACAACCGCCUCCGGGCACCGAGACGUCGGCUAAGGGUUGUCUUGUUACUACGGAAACACCAUGCGUAGCAUCUACAAAGGGGUAGAAGCCGACGAUGGACCACUUUCAAAUGAUAAACGGUCGCGACGGAGUCAAAAUAAACAUAUCUCAUCAGCGUUUGUAUUCAUUAUACAAGCGCUGCCUUCCAUAAUUAUCGUUAUCAAGCCAUAAAUAUGCAUCAAUUUGACUUAAGAUUUUGGCCAAACUGGGUUGCCUGGCUCCUGUGCUUACCCCUAUGUUCCCGAUUGUUCGGCUAGGCGGUAAAGGGAGCACCUCUGUGAUUGUUACUGCCGGGUCAUCCGGGUUAGUACCUCAGACUGGGUGAAGCCGAAAGCUAGCCAUCUUAAAGGAUAUAAUUGGUCGGCAACGACGGGAGUGAAAACUUCGGUUCACUAAGACCAUAGAGUUCGGGAACUAUCCCCAAACUAAAUCCUCAAUAUUUUCCUACCACAUUGGCCGGAGGUGAGGUUUCACAAUCAUGGUCAGCUGACAACCCAAAGAAAGGAACCGAUAGCAGGACUAUUUUCUUUGGAAGAUGUUUAUUACAUUCAAAUAGUAAUAUAACAUAUCUCUCCGUGUACCUUUGCUUAUAAAACCAUAUGGCCGGAUUGCCUCGUUUGCCAUAAAUCUUUGCCAUCAUAAAGGCUUUAUAAAGUGGGACAAACACUCCCUGGCUACUGCCCGAGGAGAUUGAAGCCGAUGGUCGGUCAAAAAAGUUUUGUACAGUACGGAUCCGAGCAUUAAUGAUCUACAGUACUUGGAUACCUACAAUCAUUACACCUAAUUUGUGAUUUUACUCUUGAUAUCGAUCCUUAAUUCGUCCACCCGUGCCCGCAUUAAGGCUCGGGGGCUACUGGGCUUCGGGCUUAUCAUUUACUAAUAUUAAAGGGGCACAUCGAUCCCCUGAUCUGGUGUGUGCCACCCGACCACUGUCUCGGGGGCUACUGCAUUACCUAUUCAAUGCAGAAAAUUCAAAGUGCUCAGUGCUCGGCUUGACCGAACUAUGGGCAAAUGCAUCUUUGAACAAUGAUAGGUGCCAUUCGGAACCUAUCCGACAUCAAGCUAAUACAUUAUGGCGACUACUCGAGACCCUCUCUCCAGGGCCUGUCCGCCGAUCACUAUCUUCUCUAAAAUAUUACGCCGCGUUUCUAUUCCUACGUACGCUGCCAAGUUAGGAUUUGAUCCUUUGCCUGAUUUCUCGAAUCGACAUGGGUCUCAUGGGCUACCGGGAUCAGCGGUUUCAUGUUUUCCUUCAGGUGCAUCUCGGGUUUUGGACCGACACACACCUUGAGGGCUACUGGUUAUAUAUCUCGGCAGAAAAUAAAUUGCACCAAUCAAGAAAAAUAUAUCUGCAAAAAAUUAGCCCAAGCCCGAGGUGGUUCAUCACCUCGGAAGCAGUCCAGCAUAAAGCUCACAUACAAGUGGCUGGCUCCGUAAAGGGCAUUUCCGGUAUUAAGCUCGGCUAAACUCAUUCAAAUUUUUUGAACCAAGGUGAUCUAUGACACCUCAGAUACAGUCCGGCGUUGGAGCUCGGAUACAGUCCGGCGUUGGAGCUCGGAUACAGUCCGGCGUUGGAGCUUGGAUACAGUCCGGCGUUGGAGCUUGGAUGCAGUUCGGCGUUGGAGCUCGGCUGCAAAAAGACACCUCGAAUGCAGUCCGGCAUUGGAGCUCAGACGCAAGAGGACACCGCCGCACGGGAACAACUUCAAACCCAAGUUGUGGUGUAAAAAAUAACAAGGCAUUGAUAAAUGCCGAAAACUUAAAGGUCUCCUCGGAUGCCCGACAUGUGCAUUCUUCGGAUUCAGCUCGGCGAUCCUCAAUUAAAGAUGGGAGAGAUUUGUUGAACCAGUUUUCAAGACCGACGUACGAAGAUGAAGAACAGUUCGGAAGAACCGAGGAGCGUCCCCAACUUGAAGACCGGUUCAAGGGGCUACUGACGUUGUCAUGGACUAGGGGGUACUCACCACGUCGUCCCCCGACUAGCUGGAUCGGGCCGAGGACCCCCACGGCGGUUCAUUCAUGGGCCACUUUGGGCAGCCCAUGCCGCAUACAAGGAGGUUUCCACAAGACUUGGCGCCCAAGCCAAGGACUCUCCAAAAUCCUAGGCCUCCGGUGCAUAUAUAAACCGAGGCCAGGCUAGUCAAUAGACAAUCUGAUAUUCAUUACUACAAUCUCGUGGUAGAUACAUGUACUCUGUACUACACCCAUAUCAAUAGAAUCAAAAGCAGCAUGUAGGGUAUUAUCUCUUCGAGAGAGCCCGAAGCUGGGUAAAAUCCCGUGUCCAUGUUACCAUCGCUCCAAGACGCCUAGCUUAGUACCCCUACUACGAGAUACGCCGGAUAUAGAACCGACACCACCCAUUGUGGAGAGACUAGUGAGAGAGUGAACCACCACAGAGUGAGCGCCACAAGCCCAAAUUGAGUGACUCUACGCCAAGAGAGAAAAACUUAGUCCUCAUAGCCACAAAAAGAGAGAUGAGAGAAGUGUGUGAGAACUCGUCAAGUGUCAUCCACUAUGUCCUAGUGUGCAAAGAUGGGCUGGCAAAUACUAACACUACUUACCCUCUUCCUCUAGUGUUGUCUGAUUUGUUGCAGGAAUUCGCGGAUGUAUUCCCAGAUGAGCUACCUCCUGGUCUUCCUCCUCUACGUGGCAUCGAACACCGAAUCGAUCUCAUCCCCGGCGCACCUCUUCCUAACCCUGAAGAAACCAAAGAAAUACAAAGUCAAGUCCAACAACUCAUAGACCAUGGACAUGUGCGUGAAAGUUUGAGUCCUUGUGCCGUGCUGGUCAUUCUUGUGCCAAAAAGAGAUGGUAGUUUCCGCAUGUGUUCCGAUUGUAGACCCAUCAAUGCUAUCAUUGUUAGAUAUAGGCAUCCCAUUCCACGCCUUGAUGAUAUGCUUGAUGAGCUUAGCGGUGCCACCAUUUUCUCAAAACUUGAUCUUAAAAGUGGUUAUUAUCAAAUCCGCAUACAAGAAGGUGAUGAAUGGAAAACCGCUGUCAAAACAAAAUUUGGUUUGUAUGAGUGGCUAGUUAUGCCUAUGGGUUUAUCAGAAGCAUCCAGUACUUUCAUGUGUGUUAUGCAUUAUGUGCUUCGUCCUUACAUUGGUAUGUUCGUUGUGAUCUACUUUGACGAUAUUCUUGUGUUUAGCAAAUCCCUAAAAGAGCACUUAAAUCAUCUUAGGGCCGUUUUGCAAACUCUUAGAAAAGAGCGCCUUUAUGCCAAUAUGGAAAAAUGCACUUUUGGUGUUGACAAGAUUAUUUUCUUGUGCUUUGUUGUGUCUUCCAACGGUGUUCAUGAUGCGGAGCAUCCCAAGGUCAUCCCCAUGGACCUACAUACGUCUCCCACGACACCACUUGGACCAAUGACAAGAGCUCGAGCAAGGGCUAUCGAAGAUAAGGUGAACUCGCUCCUCUCCGAACUACCACUUUCUACACAUGAGACAUGACUACUACCUCAAGCGGAGACCCUAUGUGUGAUCAGGUGCUUGGAGGAAAGCCACGAAAUAGCUACACCCAACGGACAAGACGACGAGGACACCAAGUACAAGGACCAAGAGAAGAAGCUGCCUCAAGCUGACAGCCACCGGACGACCGGUAUCGUCGAACGUCCGACGCUUGGGAGCUCCAGCCAGCCAGCCGAGUCCCAGCCUGAGCACGCUCCAGCGGCCGGACGACCGAUGCCGACUGGACAUCCGACAUGCUCCAGCCCCCGGACGACCGAGCCCCUCCGGACGACCGGCACCACCGUCACAGGACCAAAACGUUAGAAGUAUGGAGACCACCGGACGACCGACGCCCCGAACGUCCGACGUCGGCUCGAAAGCGAACACCGACCAUCCCGAGCCAAAAUGUCGGACUUCCGACAAGUACCGGACGUCCGGACCCUCGCGAGCCACUGGACGACCGGUAGCUGUCGGAUCCAACGCCUGUGCAUUGACAGCGUAUUGGGCCGAGGCCCAUGUACCCCUUCGUCCACUUAUUCUAUAUAUACUCCCCCUCCUCCCUCUUUCUAGGGUCAGCAUUGUGAUAGCUCAUUUGGGAGAUAGAGAUUUGCUCAUCCAUCCGGAUCUACUCCAUCGAGAGAGACUGCGGCCUCUACAGAGAAGAUCCAUCUUGGAUUCAAGACCCCUAACGGGAAGACCCUCAAGACCACCUCACGGAGAAGAACUUGCUACUUGUAUCGUCCCUUGUUGAUCGUGGAUCGUGUAUCUCUUUGUGUUUCGAGGAUCUAGCACAUGUGUAAUCGAAUCUUGUUGUCUGAGUGACUUCUCUCAUUUUCCCCUCAUGUUUCCCCUCGUAUUCUUUGUAGGACCCGCUCCAAUCAUGAAAGAUCGGCCCCUAGGGUUUCACCCUACAUCAUCUUGGUAUCACGAGCUUUGGUUGAUCACGAAUUUGGAGGCCCUACCCUUGUUUUCUAGCCUUGUUUUGUUGUGUUCUUCCCUAAAUUCGAAAAUUCCUCACCAAAAAUAGCCCCAAUUUUUUUGUGAUUUGUUGGUGUGAUGAAGUCUUGUUGGAUUUGAUCCGUGGAUUUUUGUGUGUAGCAGGUAGAUCUAGCCUUUUCCCACCUUUUUCCCUGUUUCCAUCCACAAAUUCGUCCAAUUUUGGCCAAAUUUUGCCCCACCAUGAACCCUAGAAGUUCAACCCGUGCCCUAAAUAGCCCAGGCACCAGACGUCCGACAGUCUCCGGACGUCCGACGAUCAACGGUCGUCCGACCACCACCGGACAUCCGACGUUUCCUGACGAAACUGAAAUUUUUCACCCGAAAAUUUUCAGCCACCACCCACACUCCUGCAUUGCCACUCCCUUUCCAUUUCCACAUUCCGCACCAAUACUCCGAUAACUCCACUUACCAAACCAUCACCGCUUUCCGCAUCCACCAUUGCUUACACAAUAGCACUCCGACAAAUUUUGACACGUUUUGUUCUUUGAGAAUUUGAGUUGCGGUUUCCAUUUCCUAACGCGUCUCGACAAAUUAGGGAUGGUUCGACAUCAACAUCACCGUUGCGCAUCUUCGCCACGGACUCGUCAUUGACAACAACCACUCAACAAUUUUGACACCUUCAACCCUAAGCAAGGACAGUAGCUUCGACGACAUCUUUGUCUACUCCUUGCCAUUACAUUGAUAACCCCAUAGCCCAUUUUGCGUACCUUUCCUAUCAAGACUAGCCUUUGAGUAUUGUCGGCAACGUCACUUGUGCACAUUAGUGAUCAUAGUUCCCAUUUCAUACACACCAUAUCAUCUUGGUACAAGUAUCUUGAUAUCGUCUCUUGUGUCACAAGGUUGUCAUAGCAUAUGCACAAUUAUCUUGGUUCGUGAAGUUUUGCAUAACAGGCCAAAGAAAGAGCUCACAAGAGAAAUAGCCAAACAAGCUUUUAAGCAAAAGGAAAAUAUAAGCAAAGAGCUUUUAAGCAAGAACCAUAGCAUCAUACUACAUUAAGAUUGUCAUACUCGAUCAUCUUGGAUCAUAUCAUCGGAACACCAUACGAAUAGCAUACUUGGGAUAGAACUCGUUGCAUUUUUGCUUAGUAGGUUGUGCACAAGUCGCGUAUCCGCCUAUUGUGCAAUCGUGCUAGCAUCUCUCUAGAGUUGUGCAACAAGAGCAUUUUCCGUGGAUUCCACAUUUUCUGCUCAUUUUUUGCACAACCCCAUUUAUCUAUAUGCAUGUGUGUUUCCGUGUACCACUACUUGCUAUCGGUCUACUUGUUGCAUUUGCAAAUUUGCGAAUCUUUUUCAACAUUAUUGAGUCUCCUUAACAAUUGCAUCAAAUUUUGUGCCACCAUCCUAACCGAGCUCCACCAUAAGCUUUCUUUGUGUAGGUGUGAGAGAUUGACGAGAUACGGUACCAAUUGUGCUAUUUCCUUGUUACAUCAUUGAGUGAUCUUUGAUCCACCCUCAACAUCAGUCAAGGUACACUUGGUAUUGUUCUUCCUUUCUCCAACUCAGACGUUUGCUUGGAAUGAUGGAUAGGCCAACUUCUUCUACCAAACCAUUCUUCAUCGAGCAAGGCGACCACUCAACCUCCUACGUCACCAAGAGCCACCUCUUCGGUGCACAAAGAGCAUUGCAUCAAGAAAAACAAGCUAUGAGCGACCGCAUCGACAACCUCACCACCGACUUGCGACUCUCCGAGCAACGUACAAGAGACUACUUCGACAACAAGCUCGACAAACAAAAACAAGAGAACAAUGCAAGAAUGGACAAGAUUCGCGCCUUGUUGGUCAACCGUUCUUCUACCACUUCGUCAUACUCAAGAUAGAGCCAUUCAAGUAAACACUCUUCUGACACCAUCUCCGGCUCAAGUACACCGACAUUGAACACUCUACGUCGAGCCGCGUACCAAGACCGUCAAGCAACCCACAAUCCUCUACACGUCAAUGGUCCACAAGAGCAACUUGAAGAGCAAGAAUAUCGACAUCGUCAAAAUCAAGCUACAUUCGUAUAAGCACAAGAAAGGCAAUGUCUACGCCAACAAGAGGAAGCACAAGAACAACGACGCCAACAAGAGCUAAUGCAAGAAUGGCAACACCAACAUCAAGAUGAGCAAGAUGCCAUCACGCUACGUCAACAACAAGAACGACGUGAAGCUCAAGCACUUGAGGCGCUACGUGCCCUCCGACAUACGAAUCGUGUCGUUGCCAACCGGAACCGCCAUACACGUCAAGAAGAAGAAGCACUUGGCGACGAAGUUCAAGAAAGAAGAUAUCAAGCACGAGUGCAUCGUCAAGUUCCUCAAGCUCCUCCACAAGCUAGACAAGAACAACAAGCUCCUCAAGAACCACAAGCUCGACACGAAGUACAAGCUCGCUAAGAGCAAGAAGACAAUGGCAAUCCUCCACGCCAAGAGCAACUAGAGGGCCACAAUCCUCCAUGUCAAGGAGGCCAUCACCCUCGACCCCAACACAAUGAAGAGCAACACUAUGGCAAACUCAAGUUCACCAUGCCCAUGUUUUUCGGAAGCAAUGAUCCCAAAGAGUACCUUUCAUGGGCAUUGAAGGUUGACAAGAUCUUUCGUUUGCGCAACUAUGAGGAAGAGAAGAAGAUCGCCAUGGCAUCCCUUGAGUUCCAAGACUAUGUCCUCAUUUGGUGGGAGCAAGUCAUUGAACAUCGAUUAGCAAGAGGUGAACCAACAAUCACAACUUGGGAUCAAAUGCAGGAUAUCAAGAGAGCGCGCUUCGUGCCAACAUACUAUAAUCGCGACCUCUUCAAGUGACUACAACUCCUCAAGCAAGGAACAAAGAGUGUUCAAGAGUAUUACAAAGAAAUGGAGAUUGCCAUGAUACGAGCUAAUGUCACGGAAGAUGAUGAGCAAACUAUGGCACAUUUCAUGAAUGGACUCAAUCAUCCUAUCAAGAACAUCGCCGACUUCCAACCGUACUCAAACCUCAUCGAGCUAGUGCACCAAGCCACCAAGGCGGAACGACAAGUGUAAGAUGACUUCAAGUAUGCAAAGUUCUCUUCCAAGUCAUAUGGCUUCUCCAACACCCAAUCUUCAACGACUCCAACACCUUCUACCUCAACCAAGUCUUCUACAAGCAACGAUGACAAGUCAAGUUACAAGAAAACUUUGACAACCUCAAGUCGUCCUCCUACUACAAGCAACUUCAAGCCGAGAGAUUCAUCAUCUACAACUCCACUGGAUGAGACCAUCAAGACAAGUUCCAUCAAAUGCUUCACAUGCGGCGGCCGAGGCCACAAUUCCUUCGAGUGUACCAACAAGCGCACAAUGAUUCUCAACGACUACGGUACAUACGACUCCAUGAGUGAAGGAGAAAUGGACGCCAUUGAUAAUGUGGCUAUGCACCUGCAAGUGAACAAGGACGAUGAUGAUCAAGUCUUUUGUGACGAAGAUUCGAGCCCCGCUCUCUUUUUCUCCAAGGUCUUGACACUUCAACAUCAACAAGACGAAGACCAAAGAUGCCAUAUCUUCCACACUAAGGCCAGCAUAAAUGGAAGGUCCGUGAAGGUCAGCCUCGAUGGAGGAAGUUGCCAUAACUUGGCAAGUGAAGAACUAUGCUCCAAUCUCCAAUUGGUCAAGAUGAAGCCUCCCCAUCCCUACAAGGUCUAAUGGCUAAGCGACUCCGGCACUAUUCAAGUGGACCACAUGGUUCAAGUUUCCUUCAAGAUAGGAGCAUAUGAAGACAUGUUGGAAUGUGAUGUCGUUCUGAUGUCCGUUUUCCACCUCCUACUUGGACGACCAUGGCAAUUCGACCGAGGCGUCAUCCACAAUGGGCGAACAAACCACUAUAGCUUCAAGAUGAAGGGAAAGGGGUACGUGCUAUGACCUAUGUCGCCAAGUCAAGUGAUCGCCGACAAGCGAGCCACCCAUCGUGGAGAGAAUAGUGAGAGAGUGACCCGCCCAAAAGGGAGUGAGAGCCACAAGCACAAAAUGAGUGCCUCCACGAUGAGCGACAAGAAAAAUCUAGUACUAUUUGCCACCAAAAGUGAGAUAAGAGAAGUGUGUGAGAACCCAUCAAGUGUUAUGCACCAUGUCCUUUUGUGCAAGGACGAGGCACCAAAAACUAACACCUCUCAUAAUCUACCUUUAGUGUUAUCUUCUCUAUUGCAGGAAUUCCAAGAUGUAUUCCCCGAUGAGCUACCUCCGGGUCUACCUCCACUAUGAGGCAUCGAACACCGCAUCGACCUCAUCCCCGGAGCACCUCUUCCUAACAAGGCUCCCUACCGCGUCAGUCCCGAGGAAACCAAGGAGAUCCAAUGGUAAGUACAACAACUCAUCGACAAUGGCCAUGUACGAGAAAGCUUGAGCCCUUGUGCCGUCCCGGUAAUCCUUGUUCCAAAAAAAGAUGGUACAUAUCGCAUGUGUUCCGAUUGUCGUCCUAUCAAUGCUAUCACAGUUAGAUAUCGUUACCCCAUUCCAUGCUUAGACGACAUGCUAGAUGAGCUUAGCGGAGCCACAAUUUUCUCUAAAAUUGAUCUUAAAAGUGGUUAUUACCAAAUCCACAUACAAGAAGGUGAUGAAUGGAAAACCGCUUUUAAAACCAAGUUUGGCUUGUAUGAAUGGUUGGUCAUGCCAAUGGUCCUAUCUGAAGCACAUGGUGCUUUCAUGCGAGUCAUGCAUUUUGUUCUUUGUCCAUACGUUGGCAUAUUUGUUGUGGUCUAUUUCGACAAUAUUCUUUUACUUAGUAAAUCUCUCAAAGAUCAUGCCACCCAUCUUAGAACCGUUUUGCAAACUCUUAGAAAAGAGCGCCUUUAUGCUAAUAUGGACAAAUGCCUUUUCGGUGUUGAUAAGCUUGUUUUGUUGGGUUUUGUUGUAUCUUCUAAGGGUGUUCAUGUAUCUAAGAUCAAUGCUAUUAAAACUUGGCCCCAACCAACCAACUUGCAACAAGUGCGUUGUUUUCUUGGUUUAGCCGGUUUCUAUCGUAGAUUUGUUAAGGACUUUAGCACUAUUGCAUCCCCUUUACAUGCUUUGAGUAACAAAAAUGCACCUUUUGUUUGCGGACCAUCUCAAGAUACCACAUUUAAUGAACUUAAGAAUUUGCUUACUCAUGCUCCCGUGCUUACAUUACCCAACUUUGACAAAACUUUUGAAGUUCAUUGCGAUGCUAGUGGUAACGGCAUAGGAGGUGUUUUAACGCAAGAGAACCGCCCCAUAGCUUACUUUAGUGAGAAACUUUCCAGAGACAACUUAAUUAUCCCAUCUAUGACAAAGAGCUAUAUGCUUUAGUGCGAGUUUUUCAUGAGUGGGAACAUUAUCUUCGCCCUCAUGAAUUUGUCAUUAAUACCGACCAUGAAACGCUUAAGUACCUUAAGGGUCAAACUAAGUUGAACAAGCGUCAAGCUAAGUGGAGUGAAUUCAUUGAGUCUUUUCCCUUUGUCAUCAAGUACACCAAAGGCAAAGAAAGCGUUGUGGCGGAUGCGCUUUCCCACAAAUGCAUGCUUGUUACUAAACUUGAAUUGAAUUUCAUUGGCUUUGAGCACAUAAAAGACUUGUAUGCGCAUGAUCCUACUUUUGCUAUUCCUUAUGCCAAAUGUUUGACGCAUACGUCUUGGGAACGCUAUUAUAUCAAAGCUGAUUAUCUUAUGAGAGCUAACAAACUAUGCAUUCCCGAGUCUUCUCUUCAUUUGUUACUUUUGCAAGAAUCUCAUGGAGGAGGACUUAUGGGACACUUUGGACGCGACAAGACAUUUGCCAUGCUCUCCAAGAACUAUUUUUGGCUAAAGAUGUUCCGGACGUCUCACGUUUCACCAACUAAUACUCUACAUGUCGCAAAGCUAAGUCAAAAGCUCAAUCCCAUGGUCUCUAUAUGCCACUUCCAAUUCUGUAUCACCCAUGGGAAGAUAUUAGUACGUACUUUGUCCUUGGGUUGCCUAGAACUAGAAAUGUCAAAGAUUCUGUGUUUGUUGUUGUGGACCGAUUCUCAAAAAUGGCUCAUUUCAUCCCAUGCAACAAGAUAGACGAUGCUUCACAUGUUGCAAAUCUUUUUUGUAGAGAAAUCUUGCGCUUACAUGGAGUGCCAAAGACUAUUGUCUCGCACCGCGACGUCAAGUUCUUGAGCUACUUUUGGAAGACCUUAUGCGCCAAGCUCGGAAUCAAGCCCUUGUUCUCUUCGGCAUACCAUCCUCAAACCGAUGGCCAAACGGAGGUGACGAACCGAACGCUCUCCACUCUACUACGCGUGCUGAUCAAGAAGAACAUCAAGGAGUGGGAGGAGUGUCUACCCAUAGCCGAGUACACCUACAACCGGGCAAGACAUAAGACUACCGGCAAGUCCCCCUUCGAGGUCGUCUACGGUUUCAACCUGUUGUCCCCAUUAGACAUUCUUCCUCUACCACUGCAAGAGUGCAUCAACAUGGACGCGAGUGACGAGUGAACUACCUCAAUAAGAUGCAUGAAGAUACAAGGUACACCAUCGAGCGCCAAGUACAACGACUCGCGACCAAGCUCAACAUCAACAAGCAACUGAUGAUAUUCAAUAUCGGAGAUCUUGUUUGGCUACACCUUCGCAAGGAACGCUUCCCCAACGAACGCAAAUCCAAGCUUCUACCUCGAGCCGACAGACCCUUCAAGGUACUAGCACUCUACAACAACAAUGCUUACAAGAUCGAUCUCCCGCGCGACAAGUACAACGUGAGCGACAUCUUCAAUGUCAAAGAUCUGUCUACCUACCAUGAAGAUGAAGAUUUUGAUCCGAUGCCGGAUCUUUCCCAAGGGUGGGGGGGUGAUGCGGAGCAUCCCAAGGUCAUCCCCAUGUACCUACCUACGUCUCCCACGACACCACUUGGACCAAUGACAAGAGCUCGAGUAAGGGCUAUCGAAGAUAAGGUGAAGUCGCUCCUCUCCGAACUACCACUUUCUACACAUGAGACAUGACUACUACCUCAAGCAGAGACCCUAUGUGUGAUCAGGUGCUUGGACAAAAGCCUCGGAAUAGCUACACCAAAUGGACAAGACGGCGAGGACACCAAGUACAAGGACCAAGAGAAGAAGCUGCCUGAAGCUGACAGCCAUCGGACGACCGGUACUCGUCGGACGUCCGAUGCCUGGGAGCUCUAGCCAGCCAGUCGAGUCCCAGCCUGCGCACGCUCCAGCGGCCGGACGACCGACGCCGAGCUGACGUCCGACAUGCUCCAUCCCCCGGACGACUGGCAUCGCCGUCACAGAACCAAAACGUCAGAAGUAUGGAGACCACCGGACGACCGACGCCCUGGACUUCUGACGCCGGCCGGAAAUCCGACACCGACCAUCCCGAGCCAAAACGUCAGACUUUCGACAAGUACCGGAUGUCCGGACCCUCGCGAGCCACCAGACGACCGGUAGCUGUCGGACGUCCGACGCCUAUGUGUUGACAGCGUAUUGGGCCGAGGCCCAUGUACCCCUUCGUCCACUUAGACUAUAUAUACUCCCCCUCCUCCCUCUUUCUAGGGUCAGCAUUAUGAUAGCUUAUUUGAGAGAUAGAGCUUUGCUCAUCCAUCCGGAUCUACUCCAUCGAGAGAGACGGCGGCCUCUACGGAGAAUAUCCAUCUUGGAUUUAAGACACCUAACGGGAAGACCCUCAAGACAUCCUCACAGAGAAGAACUUGCUACUUGUAUUGCCCCUUGUUGAUCGUGGAUCGUGUAUCUCUUUGUGUUUCGAGGAUCUAGCACAUGUGUAAUCGAAUCUUGUUGUCUCUCGUUUUCCCCUCGUGUUUCCCCUCGUGUUCUUUGUAGGACCCGCUCCAAUCGUGAAAGAUCGGUCCCUAGGGUUCCACCCUACAUCAGUUCAUGUUGAUGAGUCUAAAACUGAAGCAAUUAAAACUUGGCCACAACCCACUAAUUUGUAACAAGUGCGUAGUUUCCUUGGUCUAGCGGGUUUUUAUCGUCGCUUUGUGAAAGACUUUAACACUAUUGCCGCACCGUUGCAUACUUUGAGUAAGAAGAAUGCACCCUUUGUUUGGGUUCCAUAUCAAUCUACCGCAUUUGAUGAGCUCAAAUCUUUGCUUACACAUGCUCUAAUUCUUGCAUUGCCUAAUUUCGACAAAACUUUUGAGGUUCAUUGUGAUGCUAGUGGUAAUGAAAUUGGUGGAGUUUUGAUGCAAGAAAAGCAACCAAUUGCAUACUUUAGCGAAAAACUUUCCAGUGCUCAACUUAACUAUCCCAUAUAUGAGAAAGAAUUAUAUGCUUUAGUGCGAGUAUUGCAUGUUUGGGAGCAUUAUCUUCACCCACAUGAAUUUGUCAUACACACCGAUCAUGAGACACUGAAGUACCUUAAAGGUCAAACCAAGUUGAAUAAACGGCAUGCUAAAUGGAGUGAAUUUAUUGAAUCUUUUCCUUAUGUGAUCAAGUACAUGAAGGGUAAAGAAAAUGUCGUGUCGGAUGCUCUUUCCCGCAAAUGCAUGUUAGUUAUUGAACUUGCAUUGAAUGUUAUUGGCUUUGAGCAUGUUAAAGAUCUUUAUGCACACGAUCCUACGUUUGCGAAUCCUUAUGCCAAAUGUCUUGCUAACACUUGUUGGGAGAACUAUUAUCUCAAGAAUGGCUACCUUAUGCGCACUAACAAGCUUUGUAUACCGGAGUCUUCGCUUCGUUUGCUACUUUCACAAGAGGCCCACGACGGAGGACUUAUGGGACAUUUUGGGCGCGACAAGACCUUUGCCACACUCUCCUUCAAGUACUUUUGUCCAAAGAUGUUCCGCGACGUGGCACGCUUCACCAACAAAUGCUCUACAUGUCGCAAAGCUAAGUCACAAUCUCAAUCUCAUGGUUUACAUAUGCCACUACCAAUUCCGUAUAACCAUGGUAAGAUAUUAGUAUGGAUUUUUGUGCUUGGUUUGCCUAGGACUCAAAAAUGGAAAGGAUUCCAUAUUUGUUGUUGUGGACCGAUUCUAAAAAAUGGCACAUUUCAUCCCAUGCAAUAAGAUAGACGAUGCUUCACAUGUUGCAAAUCUCUUUUGUAUCGAAAUCUUGAGGUUGCAUGGAGUGCCAAGGACCAUCGUGUCGGACCGCGAUGUCAAGUUCCUAAGAAACUUUUGGAAGACAAUAUGCGCCAAGCUCGGCAUCAAGCUACUAUUCUCGACGGCCUAUCAUCCCCAAACCGAUGGCUAAACGGAAGUCACCAACCGGACGCUGUCUACUCUCCUAUGUGUGUUGAUAAAGAAGAACAUCAAGGAGUGGGAGGAAUGCUUACCCAUCGCCGAGUACGCCUACAAUCGAGCUCGGCACUCUACUACUGGCAAGUCCCCCUUCGAGGUUGUCUACGUCUUGAACCCACUGUCCCCAUUGGACAUUCUACCUCUUGCGCAAACAUGGAUGCAAGUGCAAGGGCAAGCUUUCUCAAGAAGAUACAUGAAGAUACAAGGGCAACGAUCGAGCGUCAAGUACAUCGCAUUUCCACCAAGCUCCACAUCAACAAGACACCAAUGGUGUUCCAACUGGGAGAUCUCGUAUGGCUUCAUCUUCGCAAGGACCGCUUCCCCAACGAGCGCAAGUCCAAGCUACUACCACCAGUCGAUGGACCCUUCAAGGUGCUAGCACGCUACAACGACAACACCUACAAGAUCGACAUCCCACGCCACAAGUACAAUGUAAGCAACAUCUUCAAUGUCAAGGACUUGGCCAAGUACCAUGCUGAUGAAGAUCACGAUCCGCGGACGGAUCUCUCCCAAGGGGGGGAUAUGAUGCGGAGCAUCCUUCAAUCAUCCCCAUGGACUCUACACCAACACAUCAAGCACCACGUCGGCCUAUGACAAGAGUUCGAGCACGCGCAAUGGAAACCGAGUUGAACUCCUUCCUACUUGACAUGCAUAUGGACACAAAUGGGACUUGGUUGCUACCUCACCAAAAUGCACUAUGUAUCAUUAGGUACGAAGGGGAACAUUCCCAAGCAGCUAAGGAGCAUCACCAAGGAGUAGGAGAAGCACCCCAAGGACUUGAGGAAGAAGAAGGAAGCACAAAGGAGUAGGACAGGAAGUCCUAGGCGACCGUGUGCGCACGAGCCCCCGAGACCCGUGCCCACGGGCUACACAGGGAGCUACGGCUGUAGCACCCCGUGCGCACAGGCCCUACAGCAUGGAUGACUGAGUUCGGGUUUUGGGCCUCCACUUCAUCCACCUCGCCCCAAACCUAUAUAUUUCGUACCUAGGGUUAUGUUUAGGGUUAGCAAAGACAUGUGUGAGAUAUUUGAGAGCUUUGCUCCUUCUACCACUCCAUUGGAGAUCAAGGCCUCUUAGGAGAGGAUCCACUUGUGGAUUUCAAGACCUCUUGGAGAAGACUAUCAUCAUCAAGACCUCAUCUCUUAGGAGCGGGAAGAACUUUACCUAAUGCUUGUUUCCUUUGACUGUUCAUGUACUCUCGUGGAUCUAUGUGUUUGCUAUUCUAGUGGAUGUGUGAUUGGGUUUUGUUGGAGUGAAUCCUCUUUGUGUUCUUGGUGUUCAUCCCUUUUUUCCCUCCAAGUGUGAAAAGACCCAUCUUAGGGUUUCAUCCUACAACAGAACGUUUCCUCUUAGUGACGCACGUUUCCGGAAGGCCUGGAAUAAAUUUGGAAAAAAUGCGAACACCAAUGUAAGUCUAAAACUUGAACUUUGUUGGAUUAAAGAUAUCACUGUCCUCCUAACCAUCCAACUACAUGUUGGUUCGCCAUAAAUCCUCUUUUUAUCUAUAUGAAAUGACAGUGCCGUCGUCUAACAAAAGAGGCUAGCUCAAGUGAAGUGCAUGAACAUGCUCUCAAAAUUAAUGGCCCGCUUAUAUAUUUAUAUCAAUGGCUCUUUACCUUUAUUUCUAUUAGUCUUAAAUUAUCGCAAAUAAUAAGUACCAUACGUGUGGCACAAUGCACUCCAGCCCUGACGUUUUUUAAAACUAAAGUUGCCAUCUGAAAAAAAAAACUUACCAUCCGAAAAAGAAGUUGCCAUGCUUGACCAUUAAAGUUGUCAUACUUGCAUCACUAAAUUUGCCGUGAAAAACAUUCGAAGUUGUCAUGUGUUUGUAGCACACAUGUGGCACUUAUCAUGGUUCUAAAUUAUUUACCUGUUAAUUUAUAAUACAUACUGUAAAAUUUCCAGACAAUUCAAAUCAAAAGGAAGGUAAAACGAAGAAAGUGUCCACAGACAAUUUUGUGAACAUUCAUGGGGGAUCAAUAUCAUGAGUAGGCGAGGAAGAAACAAUAACAGAAGCUAAAAUAUAAACCGACACCCUGGGUUUAGAUUACUAGAUACACACACAAACACACAUUGUUGCCUCGAUUGUUUCCUCUCCACCGAUCAACCCACGUACGCAUGCACACAAGAUGAGUAUCUUCACUUCUGCUCUGCUCUAGUUAGACUCGAGCUGCGCGUACCACACACCCUGGAUCUUGACAUCCUUGGGCGCCUUGGCGCCGAGGUCGGUGUCUGACGGCUGCACGCUCUCGAAGACGCCGAUCACCUCGCCGGUCUCCGGCUUGCUCUUGGUGACGCUGAGCGUGAUGUUGCCCGUGGAGGAGGACGCGUUCUUCACGUUCUCCUUGGCCAACUCCUCCUCGUCUCCUCUGCCUCCGGCGGGUAGCGCCACGGCGUUGUCGUAGCCAGUAGAGCCACCACGGCCCUUUGGGUCGAGGAAAGACGAACCCCUGUAGCUGGGCACGAGGAAGGGCCCGCUGAAGCUCUCGGGCUUGCCGGUGGCGACGAGCUGCUUGACGGUGAAGAGGAAGGGCACGCGCUCGCCUCCGGGGAGCUGCACGGUGACGGCCGCGUAGUCGAUGCCGUCCUUCUCCUCGAACUUGAGGGUGCCGUCGGCGCCGACCUCGAGCGGGCCUUCCAUCUCGUCAAGGGUGUAGGUGAGACGGGUCAUGAGCUUGGUCUUCUGGAAGGCCGGCGGCUCGUUCUUCUGGAUGCCCUCGGCCUUGACGGUGAAGGAGGUGGGCUCCAGGCAGAACUUCUUCAUCUCGUACUUGCCGGCCUUGAAGGGGAAGGAGUCGACGCCGCCGUCGAUGGUCGGGCACUGGUUCGCGGUGCCGGUACCCUUCACCUCCAUGUAGGUCUUGCUCUGGAUCUCGUCGAAGGUCAGCCUCUUGGGCGCCCCCUCCGCGCUCGCGCCCUGCACCCACGCGCGUCACUCUAGCUAGCUGGACUGGACAGGAGUAAAAGGCCAUGGACGGGAAUAGAAUGGAUUAGUCAGCUUACGGAGACGAGGAGGGCAGAGGUGGCGAGGGCGAAGCCGGCCAUCUUGGCGGCGUCGGCGCACUUGCUUGCGACCUCCCUGAUGUCGGACUGCAGGGAGCAGGUGAUCCUGGCGCCAGCGUCGACGCCGAACGCCCGGGCGACGUGCGACGACGGUCGCGCGGAGGAGGCCCGGCCGCCGAUCUUGGCCGGCAUCAGCGUGGCCGCGGCUUGGAGAGACGCUGCCAUGUUGGUCGGUGGCUUGGUACGCGGGAGGAUCGAUCCCACUCGUGGUUGAGAGGCGUGUUGUCAGGGCAGGCAAGUGUUAUCUA
rnacentral:lncRNA from 1 species